GUCUCCGGUCUUUAACAUUAAAGGAUUGCUUGUCAGCCGUGUCAUUUCCGGGUGGUCGUUUACCUGAAUCACUGAAGAGUCUGAGUAUCAAAGAUCUUAAAAAACUGGAAUUCCCGAAGCAACACAAACAUGAGUUACUGGAAACACUGACAAUAGAAAGCAGUUGUGAUUCACUCACAUCUCUUCCAUUGGUUACCUUUCCAAAUCUCCGAGAUAUCACAAUCACAGACUGUGAAAAUAUGGAAUAACUUUCGGUUUCAGGGGCAGAGUCAUUUGAGAGUCUGUGUUCUUUGCACAUUCAUCGAUGCCCCAACUUUGUAUCAUUCUGGAGAGAAGGAUUGCCUGCGCCCAACUUUAUUAAUUUGACCAUAUCAGAGUUGAAGUCGUUGCCUGAAGAGAUGAGUAGUCUUCUCCCAAAGUUAGAAUGUCUCGAAAUAUUCAACUGCCCAGAAAUUGAGUCCUUUCCAAAACGGGGUAUGCCACCUGACCUGAGAACAGUAUCGAUUUACAAUUGUGAGAAACUACUGAGCGGCCUAGCAUGGCCAUCCAUGGGCAUGCUUACUCAUCUCAGUGUUUGGGGUCGAUGUGAUGGCAUCAAGUCCUUCCCUAAGGAGGGUUUGCUGCCUCCCUCCCUUACGACUCUGUAUCUAUUUGACAUGUCAAAUCUGGAGAUGUUGGACUGCACGGGGCUUCUCCAUCUCACAUCCCUGCAACAAUUACAAAUUUUUGGAUGUCCAAAGCUGGAGAAUAUGGCUGGAGAAAGUCUUCCUUUCUCUCUAAUAAAAUUAACCAUGGUGGAAUGUCCUUUGCUGGAAAAACGAUGCCGCAUGAAGCACCCUCAAAUUUGGCCUAAAAUUUCCCACAUCCCUAGCAUUUGGUUUUACGGUAGAUUGAUUUAGCCACCAAGGAUGAUCAUCAGGUAUCUUCUAAGUCUAACCAACUAGAAAACUAUUUCUGUCAAGGAUAUCUUUCAUUUCAUGUCUUUCUUCUUUUACGUUUUACUAAAUCCAAUUGAUUCUGAAAUGGAAAUUGACCUUGUAUAUAUGUUACUGAAUCUACAGAGAAUCAACAAAUUAUCAAAGGCAACGUGUGAUAUCAUCUAAAUCAAAUUCACUGAAGAGUGCUGCUUUACCCCUGGCUUCGAAGAAGUAACGAUACAGGUACAAAGAAACAACAUCGAUAAAUACUUAAAUAUAAUGAUUCUCCGAAAAAAUGUUACACAUCAGUGUUGUUAUAUUCUAACUUAAUUUCUCCUUAAGAUUAUUGAGGCCAGAGUGAAAAUGACCGUGGGAAACUUAUUUUUGUUUUUCAGAUAUGGUUGAUUGGCCCGGAGAAACUGUACUUACCCAUGAAUCUAAGUUCAAAUUUGAACUAGUGCUAAAUGUAACUUUUGAUUUAAUUGACGUGAAAUUGACACUUCCUCAAUAGCUGAAUUUUUAUUUGUGAGGUUUUCGUCGGGUACAAUGUGAAGGAUGAAAAGGUGUACCAAGUGAACUUCAGAAGGAUUAGAUGAUUUCAGCUUAUCUUUUAUCCCCUGUCCUAUAAAUUAAUAGUGGUAUGAUUAUUCUAAAAAUAUGAUAGAUAUGUAGAUAUGUAAGAAUUGAUAAAAGCAUAAUAAAUAUAUAAUUGCAAUUCGGUAAAUUGAAGAACAUACAUACUUCUUAGACAUUACUAAAAACAAAAUAAAAAAAUUGUAGAUCAUUUUUUCCUAUUGCUCACAAAUAAGAAUGGUACUAUCAAUGAUCAAUCUCAUUUCUUUCUUGAAAUUAUCAUAAACAAAACAAUUUUCAUAUUUGGUUCAUCAAGAAACAAUACUUUGUAUAUUUCUAUAUUAUACUUACUUCUAUGUUACAUGUCACUAUAUUUGAUUUUCAUAAUUUUUUUAAAGAUUUGGUCACUUCACAUAUAUGUACCAGUAAAAUAUAUCAAUAUAUUGGUAUCAGAUGUAGGUGCAUGAAGCAAAUUAAAGUAUCAGUACUUUGUAGCAAAACACAUCCUUCAAAACAUGACAUGAGGUAAAAAAAUAAGAUGAUAUUUUUGUAAGUAUUGGAAAAAAAAAGUAAAGCUUCUGAAAUCAAGGAGACACUAAAUUUUCCACAACAUCCUUCAAUUUGGCCCAAGCUUCGUUUCCUAUUGACAAAUAACUGGUUGUUAGUGCCAGCCUUUUCUUGGUUAAAAUUAAAGCUAAUAUGAACCUGUCACUCCUUAAAAUUUCCACCCCAGUUUGGUAAAUAAAUAUAUAAGAGAGUGAAUAAUACAAGCCUUGCAUUCUAUCUCUAAGUUACUAGGUAUAUGAAACAGGUAUGAGUAUUUGGUUUUAGAAGGUAUGUGGUUCAUCACUAUUUAUAUUAUUACUAUAAGAACCAGGUAAUCUUUAUUAUGGUACAGUAAGUUUGGUGUGAGGUUGUAACUACGUUAUAUCCAUCUCCCUUAGCACGAUAAUUAAAUUUAAAAGCAAAAAAAUAAGAAAAAGGCCAAUCUAACAAUUGUUACCUCUCUUGCAUGACAAAAUCAGAAACAAAAACCCCACUCUUUCCUUCAAAUAGUCAUAUUUUUACCAAAAUCAUAGCAAAUUUUGCAACAAAAAAAAUAAUAAAAAUAAUAAAAUAAAUUUGCAUGAAAAACGCAAGAAAAAUUCAUACACGCAAGAAAAAUUUACCGACUAAGUUAUAUUACGUAAACAAACCUAUAUAAUAAAGAUAUAAAAGUUAUAGAAAAAAUGAGUUUGAAGGAUAAAAAAACUUAUUUUAAAGACAAUUGUUAAACAAAAUAUUUUAUAUAUAGAAAGAAGGUAAUAUUAAUGUUUAAAAUUAGCCAUAAACAUUGAUGUUAUCAAAAGCAAAAACUUAACUAUAAAGUGCAAUUUUUUUGGGCGCAUACUUGAAAUUAAAUAAUAAUAAUAAUAAAUUAUUAUAAAUUACUUUCAAUUAAAGUGUAGUUCUCUGUUCAUUCACUGACUAAUUUUUUUUUAUAAUCAGGAAAUGAAUAACUAAAAACAAACACUUAAGAAUGCUAUAUAAAAUAUUAUUAAAAACAUUUAGAAAUAAAAAAAAUUAAUAAGCAUGAGGCCUAUGCAAAAGAACGCGACUCCAAUUGGAAUUAAAAAGAGGGUUUAUAACUGUAAAAAAGGCCGUAAACAUUCAAACUAGAAGCAGGAGGUUCAUGAAUAAGAGCACUGUGCUAGUUGAGAUUAUCUGGGAUUCUAAAAGAACAAAAGCUUUAAACAUUAAAAUUAGAUUGCAAAUUAAAAAACACCAAUAUGCAGGACAUAUAUAUAUAUAUAUAUAUAUAUAUAUAUAUAUAUAUAUAUAUAUAUAUAUAUAUAUAUAUAUAUAUAUAUAUAUAUAUAUAUAUAUCCUCACCAAAGAAGAUCCGACACUGGUUAAGUGUAUUUUGUGUUUGUGUAUAUUAUAUUUUUAAUUUUUAUCCGCUAAUCUAAUGUAAUCAACUACUUUAAAGAAAUAAAAAUUAAAAACACGAUUAUACUAAUUAUUACCUGGCCUUUGGAACCGAAGUCCACUAGGAGUGUUUCCCCAAGCAAUGAAGAGACUCUAGGCUGAGAAAAGAAUUUUAAUUUCUCACCUUUUAGGAAGAAAUUGAAAUUUCACAUUUUUAGUUAUUUCAAAAUAGUUUCAUGGGUAGAAGAAGGUCAACAAAACCUUACCCCAAAAUGCGAUUCCGCUCGGUCCAUUGCGUAGAGCACGAAAAAAUGAGUGGGAUAGCGAUGUUUGAACUUGUCGUCGAUCUUAAUUUCAUAGUCGCGAGCUCUUUUCGCAAACUCUUGCUUUCAUGGUUGUCUCUUCUUGUUCACCCUUCUCAAGGGUUACCACCAACCCAGCCACUGGUCACUACUGGCACUGCCAGUCAUGCCAUUACUCGUGCCAGCUGUCACCAAUAACUUCCUUCAACUCUCAAACCUCACUUCUCUCCCAGUCUUUCUCUCACACUUGGCCCUCAAACCCACUUGUGUGUCGUAGGUGAAGAGAAGGAAAUGAUGAAAACAAAGAAGAGGGUUUUCUUUGGGGAAGGGGGAUCCAUGAGUGAUUUUUGAGAGAAGGAGAUUUAUUGUCGCUAUGGGAAGCCACGGUUCAAGAGAAGAAAAAAAAGAAAAUGGGUUAGUGUUAUUGUUGUAUUGCUGCCAUGGGGUUUCAAGGGAGGUUUGGGGGGUUUUGGAGAAACAAUAGUAGUGGUGUGGAGCUGGUGAAGGAGUUGGUCGAGGACUGGUGGGAGAGGUUUGGGGGAUUCGGGGACUUAACGAUGUCGUUUUUUACUUUUUUCUAUAAAAAAUAAAAAAUCCUAUGUGUAAUCCCACUUAGACAAAAAUCACACGUGACAUGCAUGCGUGACCGGUAAACGACCACGUAUGAAGAUAAUGGAUUCCGACUAACAACAGGAACUUCGGACAAAACUUUUCAAAUAUUAGGGACCCAUCACAAAACAAAAAUUUAUUAGGGACCAAAUACAAAAAAUGAGUAUUUAUGAUAGACCAAAAAUAUAUUUAAACCAUUAUCUAAUUAUAACUCACUAUGUGAUAACUUUGUUGACUUUUAAAAUAAUUAUUUUAAAGUAAUUUAAAGAAUAAUUUAUGAUUAGUUGACAGUGUAAAAUUAUUUUACAUCAUCAAUACAUAAGUAUUAAACUCUCUCUCUCUCUCUCUCUCUCUCUCUCUCUCUAUAUAUAUAUAUAUAUAUAUAUAUAUAUAUAUAUAUAUAUAUAUAUUCUAUUCGAGAUUGGUUGAAAUUAUCUUAUUUGCUUAACAUAUUAAAAUGCGUCAUUUUUAAUGAUAUUAUUGGUCUAUAGUUUUUAUGUAAUAUAUUUAAUGUUUUUAAAUAUUUGUAUAUAAAUAACUUUUAUCUAUUGUUUCACCCAAGCCUAUGAAAUGUAAGCAUAGGUUUGUUAAUGAGUAGCACAAUAUGGACAGUUUCCCAAAGGCCCAAGAGCAUCUUUAAUGGGAUUCUUGAACUUAAGAAUAGUGUUCACUAGAUCUACCAUUAUUCUUAUUAAGAGUUUUUCAAGAUGGAGAUUGGGUUCUAAGAAAAGAACUCCCAAGAACUCCUAUUUUUUCAAAAAUAUUAUUUUUUUUCUUGUGCUAGUAAAAUCUAAUAAUCCAAAUUAGAUUCUAUUACUAGAACAAAAAAUGAUAGAAGUUCUUGCAUCCUAUAUAACAUCAUGGGACCCACAAAAAAUAAUCCAAGAACCUAAAAUGGAUUCUAUGACUAAAGAUGUUCUAAGAAUUUCAAUAAUUUUCCAGUUAAGAAACAUAACUAUCAAAUCAAUAUAAUAUGAAACGAGUUCAAUCUUUAUUGAUUCACUUGACGCAAGCUAUAUGCACAACUGACAUAAUAGACUUUAAUUUUCAAUAACAUGCAAUAAAAAUAUAACAAACCGGUUCCGGAAAAAGCCUCCUAAAAAAGAAGCACAUUCGGUCCCCCCGCAAUUUUUACAAGUUGGGUCUUUAUGCUGUAUCAAAAUAUUCCACCAUAUCCCGCAAAUGUUGUCGUGCUAUUAAGUUUAUGUGUUAGUUGUCCCUUCAUGAUGCACGACUAACCGCAAAUGUUGAAAGUGAAUCGAUCUAAGCCUCUUUUAUGGGCUUGAUGCGUGAUAGAAGAUUGGAACAUAAUCCAAUACAUUCCAAUCUGAAUUCUGAAGCAAAAGACAACCCCUUAGCUCCAAGUACACAGUGUGUAGAGGCUAAAGAUGUACAAGAUCCGAACAUGAUCCGAUCUAGACCAGAACAAAACCUAAAACCAAACUACUAACUGAUUUAUAAUUUUUUAUACAUCAUAAACUAAAAAAACAAAGCAAACUAAGCACAUAAUCUUAGAAUCCCUACUGCAUUUACUAAAAGAGAAACAGAUACUUGAGGUGGGAAAUUUUGCCAAACCAGAAAUGAAUUAUCAUGCUCCAAAUUAACUUUGAAUGCCAACCUGCACAUACGUGUCUUCAUGAAGAGUAUGCUGAAGCUGGAUCCUCCAAUCUUGCUCCAACAGUGAGCUGAUUAAGUUGAUGAGGGUAGCAUACGUGAGGAUGAAACUUGUUGGUUAAUUACUUAAUUUCUUCCUAGGACGAGUUUAAGAGCCACUAUAGAAUCAGACUCAUAAACUAAUUGAAGCCUAGAUUCAAGGCAUGAGAGAGACCAUAAAAGAUGGCAUGGAGUUCAGCCUUGAGAUUGGUAGACACUCCACACGAUCUUGAUUUCAUAUUUUUUUCUUCUUAAAAUAACUACAUACAUAUUAAGUAGCAUGGUUUUAAAUUAUGAUUGUGAUUACAUUAUGGUGAGUCAUAAAAUCAUUUUAUAUAUUGCGGCUAAUUACGAGAAAAUACGGCUGAUGUGGUUAUUAGGAGUCCUAAUUCAUCUUAAAGCAUUAAAUUUUUUUAACUUAACAAAUAUAAUUAAAGAGAAGUAACUAAUAAGAUAAUGAUCUAAAAUUCUUGUUUUGAUUGAAAAUAGCGUAAAAAGAUGUUUCAAAGAUAAUGAUACAAACUCUUUAAAUGCAAAUGGUUACAUGCACAAAGCACGUGUAUAUACAUACACACACACACACACACACACACACACACAUGCAAACAUAUAUACACUACUAGAAAAUUAUCUUUCUCUUUCUACAUCGGUUAAAAGCGUCUUUCUACAUAGGUUAUCAUGCGUCAUCGACGUCAUUAAAACACACGCGUCUUUCUACAUCGAUUGCUUGACCGUCUUAGAAUGUCGCGGUUCAAAGACGGGUCUCAAGCGAUACUCGUCUUAGCAUUCUGACCAUUCUACAUCCGUCCUCUCAAUAACCGAUGUACAAUGCCCGAAAUUCUACAUCGGUCUUGGCCGAGAAACAUCGUAGAAUGGUACCCAUGGUAAAACAUUCUACAUCGGUUGUCCUAAUAACCGAUGUAGAAUGUCCGAAAUUCUACAUCAGUCCUGGCCGCGAAACGUCAUAGAAUGCUACUCAUGGUAAAACAUGCUACAUCGGUUUUCCUAAUAACCGAUGUAGGAUGCUUAUUUUUUUUUCCUUUUUGUUCCUGAAUGGCAAUAACAAAGCAAAUAUAAUUGAACCUAAUGUGUAUGAGACUUACUUUAUAAUUGAAUUAGGUUUUAUAAUUACAUAUAAGAAAGAAUGGCAAUUCAGUAGCAUAUGCCCUAAUAUCUGGAUUCCUAAUAUGGAAAAUCUCCAAGAUCAACUUUCUACCUUUGCUUCCAUGGGUGACCAACACUCUGUAUAUGUAUCAAAUGACCAUACUACAAAAAUCAGAAAGACAAUUAGAACAAUUUCGCAGCAUGAACAAGGACAAAGCUAUUACAUAUGUGAAGAAGAUGAGGGUGAACCAAAAAUUUUGUCACUUGCAAGGUCUGUUCCCCCCCCCCCCCCCCCUUAACCAAAUCUGAAUCCCUCAUUUGCUUCAUGAAUGACAAGUAGUAACCUCCCUUCCCAAUGUUGUUUAGAUGGAUACUCUGGCAAAUCUAAUUGAUUGAAACUGCAUAAAAAAGACUCUGUUUUACUUACUUGAAGACACAUGAUAAUGAUGAUCCAUCAAGUGAUGAAACCCAUAAAUCAAACGCACACCAAAAUGUUCAUUGAUGAUAUAUAAUAAACUAAAAAGUAAAAAAAGGGUACCAAGUAUGAGCAUAAGGCAAGUGAUUAGAACUCUCAUAUGCCUUAUGUAUCUGAAACCUCUAGGCACCUGAAAUUCCUUGAAGAGCGCUAAAACCCUCCAAAGGCACCUAAAAUUUUGGUAGCAAAAAUCAGGCCUCCUAAUUAUAUAAUACAUGUUUUAAUAAACAAAACAAGGAACCAUCGUCAUUUGAUUAUUCUAAGGGUGAUAUUCAAUAUCUUUUUUUGAGGGAAACAAGUAUAGUUUAAAUCUAAGGUCUAUAUUGAGAGGAACAAAACUAUCAGUGUGUCUUAUCUCCAUCAUAAGCCUAUUCAGUAAAUAGCAAUCACACUUCAAAACUCAUAUCACUAUAUCAGUAGUUCUACUUAUACUCUGCUUAUGUUUUCUUGUACUUGGGGAAUUGCAUUAGUAUUUACUUUUGCAAAAGUAAAAUGUAACUAAGACAUAUCUUAUGAUACAUUAGCAUUAUUUUUUGUUUUACUCCCCAAGGUACCUGAAUGAGAGGACUCUGGUCAGAAGAAAAAGGAGGAGAGGGUAUCUGAGAUAAGGCCUUAACAUGCUUGAAUGCUUUAGCCUCUGAGAAACCUGUCUCCUUUUUACUAAUGUUAGGCAUAGACACGCUGCUUGCCACUUUAGAAGCAAUUGAAACAACUUUAGAGGCUGCUGAACCACUUUAGAUUGAUAUAUACUAAUAUACUACUAACAUAAAAUAAAACUAUAUAUAACUUGCUCCAAUGAAAGACUUCUCCAUCAUCAAUACUUAAUUUAUUUUUAUCAAAAAAGAAACUUCAUGUACAAAAGGUUUAGAUAACAAAUAAUUUAAAGUAGAAUUGCUACUCAAUUUAUGUCACAAAUUCAUGUCACAAACCAUGAGUUAAAAAAUUUAUUUUUAUUUGAAAUCAUGUAUGAAUGAGUUAAACUCUUGAAACAAAUAUUAUUUUUGAACUUUUUCAUUAUAAUUUUUAUUUGGAUAAAAAAAACUUUAAACAAAUUAUAUACAUUAAUUAGGCAAUCAUACGUCUUCAAUUUUAUUCUAAAAUAGAAACAAACGGGUGAUACAGGAAAAACAAAUAUUCACAUUAUUAUUAGAAAAAAGAAAUUAAAAGUUUUUAAAAAACUGAAUAUUAAGCUUUGUGCUUAAUUUUAAUUUCCUAAUUUCAUUAAAUAACAAUCAUAUUUAAAAAAAUAUCAGUGACUUAAUGAGAAUUCAAUCAUAAUAUUUAAAUAGAAAAAAUAAUUCCUUUUGCUAAGUGUAGAGAUAAAAAUAAGAGGUGCCAAACCUUUUGCUUUACGUUGUGUGUAUGCAUUAAUUCCUCUGCACCUAGCUAGUGUAUAAUAAAUAUAUGCCUAGGCACUACUAGAGAUUUCGUUUUUUUUUUUUUUAAUUUUUUAUUUGAAAGUACUACUACUGCACUAAUAUAUAAGCUACACCAUCCAUGUAUAAUAAUGCCUUUUCAGCAUCAAGCAAAUAUCAUUAUUUUUCCUAUAUGAUUAUAUUAACUUGAUGUAAAAAAAAAUUAUAAAGAGAAUUUUUUAGAUAUGAUACCAGGGAAUUAGAAUCACAUUGGCGUUUCAGAAAAAGCAGUUACUCAUAAGAGUAGCAAUCACCUAUCAAAGAUUUAUUUAUUUUGUUAAAAAUUAUAGUAUUAGGUAAUACAAAUAUAAUUGGUUUAUGUUGAUCUAAAAAACAUCAUGGGACAAAGGUUAAAUGAAGAUCAGUAAAACAAAUUAAAUAACAACAGGCAGAUCCUUCUUCACAUUGUGAAAUUUUCUAUCUAAUGUUCACAUCAUUUAAACUUCAUGUAAGAGCUCAUCUGCCUAUAGCUCAUUUAGUUUAACAAGGUCAACUUGCCUGACAAGGGAAAAUUUUCAAUACCAGAGCAGAAACAACCUUCCAAGGAAAGAUAAUUCUCCCAAACAUAGUCGUAUGUUGUGAUACCCUGUAAAAGAAAAAGACAGCUUAGAAUAUACAUGUCAAUAGGAGGAAAAGUCGUUCAUGAAUAUACCUUUCGUAUCAGGAUCAUAUGGAAAAAGAAUAAUUCUCCCAAAGGUACAAUUGCAAGGAAUGAAACUGCUGUGCAUAUGGUCUGUUAAAGGAUUGAAAAUUAUGUAAAAAAUAGCAAUUCAUACUUUAUUGAAGCGAAAAUAACAAGAAAGAAAUUCUUGGUAAAGAACAUUAUCACUUAGGAACAAUUAACCACUCAAAUAGUUAAUGAUGUUCAAAGAUUGGAUAAUGAUAAUUACUUUAAGUUUAUGUUGAAUAAUUUUUGGCAAACACAACCAAUAAAUUUUCCAAUCAGGAUCACUAACCAACAAAAAGAACUAAUUUUUUUAAGAAAAAGUAUGUAUGAGAUUGAAUUGAAUGUUUUAUAUCAAUGCAUAUUUUGACAUUUCAAGCCAAAUAAGGGGUCCCAUCAGUAGAAAGAAUCCAUCAUUUUAAGUUAACAUGAGAUGUGCACCAAUAGAAGAUGCAAAUGAAAAAGUCUAUUGAAAACCCAUACAAGGCUCAUAGCUCAUUAUGCGUCAUUCCUGCAAACAGAACUCAUAGCAUAUACAAAAGUAGCAUUUGUCAGGUAAAGUUUAUUUCAGUUUAUCCUAUAUAAAAACGGAGAAUAAAAAUCUGUUUUAUAAUCAGCAGUCUGUUUUGUAAUGCACCUGACAAAUUUUAAAAAUAAUGAUUUUUUUUUAUAAUCAGCUGGGAACCUAAGUAUCAAACCAUAUAUAGACAGGGUGCUUAAAUUUUAAAUAUACAACCUAUAAAUUUAAAAGAGAAAAUACACAUUGAAGUCAUCAUCAUUCAAUAAUUUAUAAAAAGGUAACAAUUUUAAGAAUAAGGGUGUCUUUGACAGAAGAUAAAUAGGGAAGAAGGAGAAAAUGGAAAAGAGAUGAGAAAUGUAAAUGACAACGUUGUAAGGUUAGAAACUAAACUUAUUGACAGUUAUACAUUCAACUUCAAGAAGUAACUAAGUGUUUUAUGGCUUUACAGUUGCUGACUUGAAAUUUAUGGCUUUACAGUUGUAGGCUUGAAAAUGAAUUAACUACAUAAGGACAUAAGGAAGGAUGCAAAGAAUUCCAGCCAUCAAAAUUAGUUAUAUAUUUUAUUGUAUUAACUACAAAAAAUAACAACCACAAGCUUUUCCAUAUAGACUUUUGUAGUACCGUACGGUACACUAUUUUCUUGUUUAUGGUGGCUUAUUCCACAUAUAAUAUAUUGUGCUAAAAUAGCAGUCUAAACUUUACUAUUGUCAAGCCUUGAGAGAUGACAUUAGACAAGGCUCUUGUGCUCAACAAUCUCUGAGCAAGCAUUUCAAUUUCAAUUAUAGAAGAUUUUUCACUUAAAAAAUUAUAAAAAUAAAAUAAAAUAAAAGCACAGUAAUAAAAUUAUGUUUUCAAGUCUACAAAAUAUAUUUAAAUUACGAAGUUAGGAACAAGCACAGUAAUAAAAUAAUGUUUUUUACAUUUAUUAUUUUAAUUUAAAUUAUAAUACAAAUAAAAUAAUAUAUUGAGUUAGGAACAAGCAUAGUAAUAAAAUUAUGUUUCUUACCCACAGUGCCUCCCAGUUCAAUCACACAAACAUCUGCAGGGCCCUCCUUUCCAUCCACGGGAAUCACAACACCCUCAAUCCAAUCUUUAAUAGCAGCAGUGAUGUGUGAGACCACCUAUUUUAAAACACCAAUACCUCAUCAAACCAGUCUUUAUUAGCCACAGUCCCACAUAAUAAAAUUAGUAGCCUUAGCUGAUGGAAUAAUUCUUACAAAAAAACCAGGAACUUUAAUAAGCUUAGCAGCUGCAAUUAUUUUCGUUGUUAGCAUCAUCAGCAUUAUUUCAAAAGGCAUUAGAAUUAAAUUUCGAAGCUAACACAGAGUGCAAACCUGGAUACACAACGAGCAGGGGUUUUCUGGCCUCAUUCUGCAGAGUACGUGGACCAUUCAACCCUAUCAAUAAAUGAAGACUUCUCCAAAUACUUCUUCACCAAGCAGAGAUAGAGACACCUCUUGCAUGAUAUCUGUAAUUCAAAUAAUCCUUCUCAUGAAAGCAAGUCUCACAUUCAUAAAUUAAAUUAAACACUUGUACCAGGUCUGGGUCUUCCUUUAUUUCUUUUUCUUCUCCCAAUUAACACACACUGACUCUGUCUCUCUCUCGAACACAAUGUCAAACUCCACCACCGGCACCACUGCGGCCUUACCACCAAAGCCCACCUGGGUACUCCCAUACCAAACCGAGAAUCUCCGCGAGGUCUACACCCUAAGCUAAAAGCUCGGCAUGGGAAAAUUCGGCACAACCUUCUUCUGCACGCACAACGCCACGGGACGCCCCUUCAGCUGCAAGUCAAUCACGAAGCGGAAGCUGCUCUGCAAGGAGGACUACGAUGACGUAUGCACCACCUCUCUGAGCACCCCAACGUUGUUUGCAUCCACGACACCUACGAGGACACUGCCUCUGGGAGGCUUGCCACUGGCUUGGGGUCAUGCAUAGGGAGACAAAUAAAAAAAAAGAUAAAAAUAUAAAGAGUGAGAAAGAGUCCGCUAGCAUUCCUGAAGCGCUCAUUCUACAUCAGUUCUACAAGAAUCGAUGUUGUAAUUCAUUUUCAAAGACGUCUUUGAAAUUUUAAAAUUAUUUACAAAAUUGUCAAUAUGUACUUACAACAUCGAUUUUUUACAACCGUCGUAAAACCCACAUCCUAAAAAGCCAUUUUUCUGAUAGUGAUACAUGGAUGCAUAUAUAUAUGCACAUACAAACAUAUAUACAUCUGGAUAGAGAUAGGAUCAGAAUAGCAGGACAAAGACAAACAAACUUGUAUUUGUUGCUUCCAUACUAGAAUUGUAUUUUCUUCAGGGUUAGAUGCAUCAACUGUGUGGAAGGGAAAUUUAUUAACAGCGCUAAGUAUUCUCCUAACCUUAAGCAAGAUCUCCUUCUGGUCUCUUGCCAUCUUAGCUUGCAUGUCAAUGUUGAAAAACCUGACAAGCGAGUCCACAAGUGCCUCAAGUUGUUCCUGGUAACAAAGUUUUGUCACAUUGACGGAAAAAACCAAGGUUGCGUUGGUUGGUCAAAAAAUAGCCCUGACAAGAUGUUGGUAAAAAAAUAUCAUUAGUUGAUAUCGAUCACAAACAUCAUUGACUAAGGUUGACAAAAAAAUUUCUAACCGACGUUGGUCAAAAAUUAACUUUGACCGAUGUCGAUCAAAAGAAACCUAACCGAUUUCGACCAACAAAAAUAUUUUAUAUGAUAGCCUUUGGUUGCAAAAAGUGUGAACCAGGGGGUAUUUUGACAGCCGUAAAACAUAUCUCAUGGCAGUGGUUGUUAUAUAAGGCAAAAAACCAUGAACUUUCUUCUGUUGCUGGUGUUUGGAGACACUUCAAAUGUGAUUGAUGUUAGAGAAGUUAACUGUGGCAUUUUUUAGGACUGAAAGUUAACUUAGGAGAAACCAUUUUUUUAUGUAUGUAAUACGGUAACACAUGUACCUCUUGCACAGAUUGGGGAGAAAUUGCAACUUUUUUUUUACAUUUUGCCUUAAAAAAAAGUGUUCAUAUUUAUAAAAAUAAUUUUCUAUUUAACUUGGAUAUUUUUUCUCAUACCACUACACUAAGGUAUAUACAACCUAAUUAAGGCGUGUUUCUUAAUUUGGAGACUGAUUCUUGAUUGAUUGACUACCAACGAAGGAUAAUCUAAAAAGGAGAAACAUCAUUUAUAAUCCUCAUGAGUGCUUAUGUCCCUUUUGCCUUGAGGUAGAUGAGUCGGUCUCUCACUGUUUCUUCUCAUGUCAUAAAAUUCUUGGUAUUAAUUUGGAGGCAAUGUUACUCUUGGCUGCUGGCUGCAUGUAAAUGUGGUGUUGCCACAAUGACCAGAAUCACAUUUUUGGCAAGAUUCUGUAUUCGUAAGUUCAAAGAAGGAGGCAGAUGUAUGGAGGGCGGUGUGGGCAUAAAAAAUUUUGGGGUGUAUUUUUUUUUUUUUGGUGAAUGUCAUUUUGGUGUGUAUGGAAUGCUAGGAAUGAGUGUAUGUUAAGGAAUUAAUGGCUCUUUUAAUGCUGAGAAAAUUAUGCAGAAUAUAUUAUUCUUUGCAUGGUCGUGGAUUAAUAAAAGCCAGAGUCCCUAAUUUUAAUUAUUGUUUUACUUAAUGAUCUAUGGCACCUGGAGCUUGUUUCUUGAAGAGACAAUUUUGAAUGAAAUGUGAAGUUAACUUGAUUCGGUGGUAGCUGCUCUUCGAGUGGGAUCAUCCCAAAUGCAACCGAUGUUUAUGUGCACGAUGGUGGGGGCUGGUUAGUGAUGCCGCAUCAAUUUUGCAUGGCUUUAGACAUGAUUUUAAAUUGCAAUUCUGAUUGCGUUGCAUGCAACGAACCUAAAAAUCUUACAUUGUGAUUUGUGGAUAAUUAUGGAAAAAUACAACUGAUGUGAUCAUAAUUAUAAUUGUGAUGUGAUUACAGAGUCAAAAUACAUUAGCGUUAUGACUGCAAUUAGGUUGCUGACUACAAUUUAAAACCAUGACUUUGGGUGUAAUGGUCCAUGUUCGAAGCUAGCUAUCUUUGUCGAGAUAGAAAUAUAAUCUAACCAUGGAAUUUGCUUUCUUUCUACUGUCACUGGUGUAUAUGUUUUUGGAUCUUAGGUACUUUUGGUACCAUUUAAUACAAAUCAUUUUGUUGGAAAAAAAACUACGGUAGCCUACAUGCAAUAUACAAAAUAAAAUUGAAUUACUAUAUAUUAUCAUAAAUAGUAGAGUAUAAGAAGUAAAGAAAAUUCUAAAGAUAAACAUGAAUUUAAUAACAUAUGAAACUAAUAUAUAUAUAUAUAUAUAUAUAUAUAUAUAUAUAUAUAUAUAUAUAUAUAUAUAUAUAAUAAGAGAAUGUUUUAACUAUAUAUAUAACAUAUUUAAUUAGCUUAAUAGAAAUGCGAAAGUACAAUAAAAAAGCAAAAACAUAAUAGGCGUGACAAAUCGGUUGCUAAUAUACAAUAAAGACAACAAAGUUUGAAACUAAAACCUUAUCCAGACUAUCCAAAUAACCCUAAUUAAUCAUGCAAAAAUUAGAACAGAAGAAAUUUAAUAACUAUAGCAACAGUAACAGCAGCAGCUAUAGCUAAUGCCGCGAUCACCGAAUCGGAAAACUUUUCAUCAUUGAAGUAUUCUAUUUCACUAACCCUAAGCAAGAUCUCAAGUUGAUCGCGUGCAAUAAGAGCUAGCAUUUCAAUAUUGAAAAACCUCUCAAUUGAGUCUGCAAGAUCUUUAAUUUUAGUUUUCCACGGUAAGAAUUCUUAGCCACAAAAUUGUAUUUCCCUAUUUUUGAACACUUGUAAACAACCUCUUUGCUCUUCCUCAAUAGUUGUAUCAGUGGCUCAAGUUCCUGCUGUGAACGGCCCAACAUAUUCCUGUACUUACCUAUCUCCUGCCAUGUUUACCGCUACAUAUUUUCUAGAAUGUUAUUUGAAUUUCAUUAAAAAUCAUAAGAAGCAAGUUUGAAUUUUUCAGUGAAAUUUUUACUUAGGUUUAGUUAGAAAACCCUAUUUAAAAGCUAUAUUGUUUUGCUUAUCGAAACAAAACCAAUUAGUUCGGUUUGAAUUUCUUAGUUAAUAAAUCAAUUUUAUAUGAUUUUUUUAUACAAAAUAUUAAACUCAAUUUACUAAAUAAGAUUUAUAUCAAAUUCAUGAAGGUAAAAGUAAUAUUUUUAUCUUUUAAUGUAAGGCUUGGUUUCACUUUUCUCCUUUAACUUUUUUUAUUUGAUUUAUUUCAGUGAUCAUUUAAUAUUUAUGGGAACCAAACCAAUUAGUUUGGUCUGAAUUUCUUAGUUAAAUCAAGUCCGGCAUAAACCAAUUGAGCUAACCCUAGGUUAAUUGUUUCAAAGGUCGGGUUGACUCUCUUUAAACUUGAGGAUCCGUUCUGCAAACCGAAGUAUCUUAUUAUUUAAAGAAUAUCUAAUAUUUUUUUGUUUUUACAUUAUUGUUGAAUCCAUUUUAUAUGAUUUUUUUUUACAAAAUAUCAAACUCAAUUUACUAAAUAAGAUUUAUAUCAAAUUCAUGAAGGUAAAAGUAAUAUUUUUAUCUUUUAAUGUAAGGCUUGGUUUCACUUUUGUCCUUUAACUUUUUUUUAUUUGAUUUAUUUCAGUGAUCAUUUAAUAUUUAUGGGUUCUUCCUUAAGGAAUCUUGAUUUUCCUAUAGUUUUAAUUGUUCUUCGGUUAUUUAUUCCGAAAUUGAGAGGGGAUCAUCACCUCCAAAGAUUUCCUCGCUCCCAUUAACAAAAAUGUCUAAACAAUUACCUUCCGUCUAAAAAUUUUGUAAAGUACCUCCACUAAUUAAACUCAACAUAUUCUCCCAUACUUCAUUUUCUUUGAAAACAAUGUUGUCUAAUUCAAGACGCUUCGAUAUAAAAUAUUUAGUCGCUAGAACGAGAGAAAAAAAAAUUGAAUAAAAAGAAGGGAUUUUUUUUCUUCUUAACGUACUUCAUGCUACUUAUUUGCUGGCAAUCAUUAUUAAUAUAUAUUAUCUAAUAUGAGACAAUUUUCAACAUUUAAAUGUUAAUUUUGUAAGUAUCUUGGUAGUAUCCUUUUCUGAUAAGGAAUAGAUAUUAUUUUGAGAUUAUAUUAUGAUGAUGAAUUGUCUCAUAAAAACACGAGGCAAGCACUUGAAAGGAACAAAUUCUCUAAUUUCUUAGUGGGUAGUGGGAGAGAGGAAGUAAACUUGCUUCAAUAUGCAAAUGACGCAUGACGCACUCUUUAUAGGAGAAGCAACACUUUCUAAGGUGCUUACCAUAAAAAGCAUUUUGAGAGGCUUUGAACUUGUCUCGGGCCUCAAAAUGAAUUUCCAGAUGCUUUGAACUUGUCUCGGGCCUCAAAAUGAAUUUCCAGAUGCUUUGAACUUGUCUCGGGCCUCAAAAUGAAUUUCCAUCAAAGCUUUUGUGGUGCCUUGGGAGUGGAUAUUGAUACCUUGAUGAAUUAUGCAAGCUUGCUUAUUUACUUGAGACAGACUAUAUAUGCACAACUGACAAAAUAGACUUUAAUUCUAAAUAGCAAUAAAAAGAUAUAUAAUAAACCUGUUUCAGAAAAAGCUUCCUCAAAACGGAGGCUACUUCAAUCUAGUACGGUAGUUGACUUACUAAGUACGAAACAACAAAUUAAUGAGACUGCUGACUACUGAUUUCAUAGAAAGAUUUAGGAAGAUGAGGAGUAAGAAAUGUAUGGUAAAGCUUCUAGGAGUAGAAUAUGUUACUAUGUCUUAAAGUAAAAAAAUAUUUAUGUUUAAAAGAUGAAUUAUGAUUCAUAAUUAUUUUAAUUAAAUAUAAAUAAUAAAAGUUAUAUAUAAUAUAUUAUUGGAUCAUAAUUUAUAAUUUUAUGUUUGUAUUUUCAGUCAAUACAUUUAUAAAACAAUUUAGCAUAACAUUUAUGAACUAAAUUUAAAACCUUUAUUUAAUAUUUUAAUAUUCUUUCAUUAGAAACAAGUUCCGGUAUAGGAGUUGGUAUCCUUUCAAAUGAUAUAAAGCAAUAGAUUUAAAUUUUAUAUUCUAUUUUAUUGUGUCAAAAUAAUGUAUUAAAUUCUUUGGUAAAAGACACUAUAAUUUUAAGUUAUUAAGUUGAUAAUUAAUUAAACAUGAUUUUAAAUACUUACAUAUUUAUUCACUUAUAACUAUAAAGAUUUAGUAAGAGCAUAAAUAAAAAAUGUUGUUAUAAUAUAUAAUUUUAAAUUUAAUAUAAUAAAAAUGUGUUAGCAAAAUAGAAAUAUAAACAUAAAGCGUGACAACACAUGUUUUUAGUUAAUAAUAAUAAUAAUAUUAAUUACAAAUAUUAAAUAGGUUUUGACAAAAUCAUACCUGGCGCAAAUAUGCAGUUUAGUGACGGAAUUAAUUUGUGAUUCAUGCAAUACAAUUUGUACCAAUCAUCAUCAUCAUCAUAAUCUCUUUUUCGUUUUAUUUAUCAAUGUUGCUACUUAGUACGAAAAUUAUUUGCACAAAAUACAAACAGAAUGACGCUAUCUGUUAUGAAAAGUAAAUCCACACGAAUUACACGAAACAUAGAAUGGAAGGUUAUGAUUUUAUAAAAUGAAUAUCGAUUAAAUUUAAAUGUUAUGGUAAUUUUAAAAUAUGAAUGAUAAAAUGAUUCAAUUAUUAUACUUUAAUUUGUAAAUAAAAAUUGAUUUUUAUAAUAUUUAAAGUUUAUAAAUAAUAUUUUGAAUAAUUUUAAAAAUAAAUUAAUUAAAUUAAAUGCAAAAAACUGAAAUUAAAUAUUGCUUAAAACUAAUUAAUUAUUAUUAUAUCAUCUGCUCCAUUAUAAUUGUUGUGUAAAAAAUAAUAAUUCUAAAAUAAUUUUUAUUUUUAUUUUUUAAUGUAAAAUUAAUUAUGUUUUUUUACUUAUAUUUCUUAUAUAUGAAUGAUGAACUACAAAAUUUAAAAAUAAGUUAUUGAUGAUAUAAAGUUAAUUUUAUAAAAUUAUUUUUUAUUUUUUUAUUUAUAUAAAAUAAUGUAUGAUGAUAAUUAUUUUCAGAAGAAAAGCAACACUUUUCUAAGAUAAAUUGUUAUAGAUGUUUAAUAUUAUAUUUUGCUUGUAAGACAAAAACAUACUAACUACUAAAUUAUCUAAUUUAUGUAUAUUUUUAGUCCUUUGCAUAAUCGGGCGAUAACUUAUCAUAUGAAAGAAUACUGAUGAUGAUAAAUACUUUUUGAAGAAUAAUAAUUUUUAUGAAAUAUUUGAAUUAGUUUUACAUUAAGAGUUUCUAAUGAUCUUAAAAUGAUUAAAUGUAUUAUAUUAUAUUUAGUAAUAUACUUAAAAAUUUAAAUAUUGUUGUAAUUUUAAAAUAUGAAAGGAUAAAAUAAUUGAAUUAUUUUACAAUGGUAUUUCAAAAAAAAAAAAAUAGUUAUACUUUUUUUUUUAUAAUACUAGUAUAUGUAUAAAAUAGAAGAAGAUAGAUAAAUAAUACUACAAGUUAUAUCCAAUUACUACAAGUACGCACCGAUCAAUUUCAAUAAAAAAAAAAAAAACAAGGUGUGAGUGAAGUCAACAAUUAAGCUAGAAAUGAAGUUCGAAGAAUCAUCGAUUUUAAGAUUGCAUUAUAUGCUAAUAAUUGGGCUGACUAUAUAUGCCCAACAAUUAAUGUUGUUUUCGUUGUUGUGCUUGUCUAGUGAAUGAUGGCAGAUGUUGUAUUUCAAGGUAUGGGAACUGCGUGGCAAUUUCUGAACGUGAUUAUGGUCAUAAAAGACAAAGUUACGUUCAAAACAGCAUUGGAAAACGUCCAAUCCUUUCUAAUACGCAGCUUGUUUCUGAUUGUUCCAAAGUCCACUGCUUAAAUUUUGUGGCCAGGUAUCGUUACAAUGCUAAACUAAAGGCAUUUACAAAGUCAUUUCGGAAUAUUUACUCCACGGUCAUGUUAGCUCAGAUUGCAAGAGAUCAAAAAGAGAACCGUAGGAGUCAAAUACUACUUGCCUACAAUAAUCCUGCUCAGUCUCAUAAGAUUCUAAGUAUUGUUGAUAUAUAUUAAUAUUAAGGGUCUAUCUGGAUAAAUGUAUUUAGAAGUACUACUAAAAAAAUCCAUCUCAAAGCAGAAAACGCCCUUAUUAGCUUCACAACAAAGACAGAAAUCCACCUCAAAAACAUUAACAGCGUGUUUUCAAUUGCCUCCCCAGGGUCGAAGCACGUUUUCUCAACAACCCUAAGUAUUCUCCUAACCUUAAGCAAUGUCUCCUCUGAUCUCUAGCAAUCUGAGCUUGCAUGUCGAUGGCAAAUAGUUUCUCGAGCUCGUCGAAAAACCGGUCCAGUUUGUCCUUGUAACAAGCCCUAGUCACAAAGUGUAGCCACCGGAUUUUUGAACACUCGAAAACAAGCUGUGUCCCCUCCUCCAUCUUUCUGAUAAACGAUUGGAGUUCCUCCUUCGGAAGCUGCAACUCGUUGUUUUGCUGUUCUAUCUCCUUGAUCACCGGAGAUAUAGCUACUAGAGUGGAUAUUGGAGGUGCACCAAAGAUGAUUUGAAGCAAACCGUUUGGUUUUUAAAUUCCAAAACGGUUCCCAGCAACUCGUUGAACACAACUCCCACUGUUGCUUCUAUUAGUAGUGCCAUGAUAUUCACAACAGAAACACACACCCACAAGGAUGAAAACAAGAUGAAGAAAUAAACCUCUCUUUAUAAUAUAUAGAGUCAGGUUAAACGUAAUGUUAAAAAGGAAGUUUCUUGGAACUCCAUUUCUAUCCUGUUGACUUUACGAACUUGUAGCUAGGUAUACUUGUUUGUAUUAUUUACCGACUUGAACAUAUUUUAAUUAUUUAUUUAAUUUCCUGAAUAGUUAUAAUUUCCUGAAUAGAUGCGAGAUGCCAAAUCUUGUUCCACCCUCCAACCCCAAGAAUAAUUAAUAGUUAAGUGUGAAAUAGUAUGUGUGUCUAUCUAUAUAUAUAUUAUAAUUUUUUUAUACAAUUAUCUAAUUAUAACAUAUUAUUUAUGUGAUAAAUUUAUUAAUUUUUUAAAUAAUUCAAAUGAUAAUUUAUAAUCAGAUGACCGUGUCAAAUUAUUUUAUAUCAUCAACGAAUAAACAUUAAUCUCUCUCUCUCUCUCUCUCUCUCUCUCUCUCUCUCUCUCUCUCUCUCUCUCUCUCUCUCUCUCUCUCUCUCUAUAUAUAUAUAUAUAUAUAUAUAUAUAUAUAUAUAUAUUCUAAUCAAGGUUGGUUGAAAUUAUCUUAUUCACUUAACAUAUUAAAAUGUGUCAUUUUUAAUGAUAUUAUUGGUCUAUUUUAUGUAAUAUAUUUAAUAUUUGUAUAUAAAUAGCUUUUAUCUAUUAUGUGACCCAAGCCUAUGAAAGGUUAGCACGGAUAUGCUAAUGAGUAGCACAACAUGUAUAGUUUGCCAAAAGCCUAAGAGCAUCUUUGAUGGGGUUCUUGAUUGAGCUCAACAAUCCCUGUGCACUAAAACUACCAUUAUUCUUAUUCAAGAGUAUUUCAUGAUGAAGGUUGGAUUUUAGGAGAAGAACUCCUAAAAUUCCUUUUUUUUUUGUGCAAGUAAAAUCUAAGAAUUCAAAUUGAAUUUUAUCAUUGGAGCAAAAAAUGAUAGAAGUUGUUGCAUUCUAUAUAGCAUCAUAUGACCCAUAAAAAAUAAUCCAAGAAUCCAAAAUGGAUUCUUUAAUCAAAGAUGCUCUAAGAAUCUCAAUAUUUUCUCACUUAAGAAACAUAACUAUCAAAUUAAUAUACUAUGAAACGAGUUCAAUCUUUAAUGAUUUACUUGAGACAAACUAUAUGCACUACUGGCAUAAUAGACUUUAAUUCUAAAGAACAAUACAAAGACAACAAACAUGUUCCGGAAAAAAGCUUCCUCAAAAUGGAGGCUACUUCAAUUUAGAACACUCACGUGAAGUGUAUUGUAUAACAUGUCUCCUUAGGUCAGAAUGAGAGCUUUUUAUUCGUGCUUGAAGCAUGCCCCCUUCAAUUUUUACUAGUCGAGGUCUUUAUGUUGUAUCAAAAUGUUCAAUCAUAUCCAGCAAAUGUUGUUGUGCAAUUAAGUUUAUGAUAGUUAUCCCUUCAUGAUGACUAACUGUCGUACCAUAAACAAUUCGUUAAUCCCUUACUUUUGCUAGCGAGAAAAUUGUUGCUGCAGUCCACUGUAAUAUCAUCUGUUGUGAAAAGUUUUGCAACGAUAUUUAAUGUCACUAUCACUCUUAACACUUUCGCAACAAAAACUUCUACUACUUGAUAACUAUGAAAAUUGAGUUUAAUUGAUAGUCAAAUUUAACUAAGAAUGAUUAGAAUUUUUUUAUUUUAUUGUUGUUUUUAAUAGAAUAAUGAGGAUUUUAAUAUCAUUUUAAUUCUUCUUUCAAGUUUUUAAUUUCUCUUCCUCGGUAAUCUAGAUUCCAUAAGAUACUUCUCGAAGUGCAGCUAUGAUAUUUUUUUUUUGUUUUUUUUUUUGUAUUUUACCAUUCUUUUCUUAAAAUUAUCAUACAUAAUUAUAUAUGCUAUAUACUUGUUGAUAGGGAAGAAGAUAAAAGUUGGUUUUCGAGGACCAGGGCCUCCAGUGAGAAAAGAAUAAGGGAAGGAAUAAUUGUAUAUUCCAUUGAUUGAUGUUGUUAUUACAUAGUAUUAUUUAUACUGAUUUCUCAAUAAUCAAAUUUGUCUUUUUGUGCUAUAGAAUAUCAGGAAAUGGUUAAGUUUGUCUACCCCUACACGACCAGCAUCAUUCUUCCAGUACAGUGGCGGAUCCACCCUAAGUCAAUUGGUACAAAUUAUAAAAAAUAAAAUCAAUGAGUUCAAUUAUAUAAAUUUAGAUGAAAUAAACUAUAAAAAUAUAAGAUUUUAUUUACAAAUUUGGUGAAUUUUAAAAAAUGAGGGGGUGCAAGUGCACGCCCUCAGAUGGCUGUAGGUCCGCCAUUGCUUCGAGAUAUGGUGCACCUGCUUGCAAUCCUUGAGGUAAGUGGGCCUUGUAAUUGCUCUCUUGGUCUUGUUUUCUAAUUGCACCCUUGCUUCUGUUGCUUGCUUGCUGCAUUCUCAUCCUCUGUUUCUGCAACAGGUUCCUUUGCUACGCUAUCACUUGUGGGGCCGUUUUUGGCUUUUCCAGUCUUCCCAAGUUCCCACUGAUUCAAAUUCCAAAAGUUCUGCAAAUAAAAUUGAAGAAGAAGCUAGAGGUGGGAAAUACUCAAGUCAUUCUCUUGAAAAAGUUGCAGCAAUGAUAUGCAACAAAAUAUCACUAUACGGAGUCAAGGUAAUUAUUGUGUUCACAUGAACAUUUCUCCCAUGAAAAUAUAUAUUUUCUGACUUUGUAAUCUCUUUAGAGUAUGCAUGGAAAAUUAAUUUUCUGAUUUUUUUCUCUAUAGUGUUAUAUAUUAUUUUUAAUCACAUUUUCUUAUUUAUUUAGUUUGUUUCUGAUUUGACAUCAUGCGAAUUUGGAGAUUUGGGUUAGAAAUGUUUUUGGAAUUUUCCUGGUUAGAACUUGAUAGGUCCAUAAUGAAGGUAUAUAAAAGGAUAGGGAAAAGAGGGGGAGGGGAAUAGAAAAAGAAAGGACAAAUGGUCCUCAAAAACAAGACCUGCUUGUGUAUGACAGCAGAAAGAAUAAGCCGUACAAGUUGCACUAGCUGAAGUGGAAAAGGAACAUAGGUUGGCAUAAUGGAAUGGAUAGCUUGUAAGGAGAGUGUACGUAGAGGCUGAGAAUAAGCUCUUCCUUAGGAAAGGGAGGGGGUCUGGGUUUGUUUUUUCCUAAUUACCAUUCUCAACAUCUGGCUUGUAUCCGCCACUCCCCUUCUCUCUGAGUCCUAUUUUUCAUACCUGGAAGCCUAUUUUUUUUUAAUAUAAAUAUAAAAUUAUGGGAAUAUCUACCUGUCAAAAUUUAAUAUAAUAUAUUAGUAUCUAUUAUUUAUUUAUUUUAUUGGUUUUAUUUAGUAAAAAUCACCCACUUUUCUUUCCGCAUACAUCUUUGACAUAUAUGUAAGGACAUUGAAAUCUUUAAUUCAUUAAUAUUAUAUUUUUAGGAAUAAAUUAGCAUGUAUUCUUUCUUUAAUUCUAUGCGUAUGGGUUAACCAAUAUUCAAACUCUAGACCAUUUAGUUAAAAAAUACAAGUCAUUACUAUUUGUGUCAAUCAUUAUUGGUACAAUGCACAAGUUUAAAAUCUAGUUAGAUUUGUAAAGAAAUGUUAUGUUACAUUUCAAAUGACUUCUGACUUUCUUUGGUAGCUAAAAAACUUGUUUAACUAUUUGAUAAACAAGUUUUUUCAAUAAUUUUUAACAUUUUUUAAAACGUUACUUAAAUUAAUAUUUUUAAAAAUACUAGUUUCUAACAUUUUAUAUUUUUUUCUUAUUUUAUCUUUAAUAUAUAAACUUAAAUCUUGAAUUAGUUAGAUACAAGACUAUAUCCAAUCCCACUUAACUAACCUCAAGAAAUUAGAUGUCUUAUAUAAUUAUUAAAUUUAUUUAAUACACGUCUUUCAUUUUGUAAUGAUAAAAGAUUUACUGAUAAUAAUGCAUUCCUUUUAUAGUAUUAAUUAUUUUAUUUCUAUUAUGACAUUAUUUUCUUACUCUAAUUUUUAAAUAUUUUUACUUCAUAAUAAAUAUAAGAAAUGUAAUAUCAAAUAUUAUAUUAAAAUUAAAAUAAUUUUAAUACGAAUAAAACAAUUAAUCAUAUUUCUAAUUUAUGCGUUAUGUUUUUAAGCUGAAAAAUAAAAUUAACUGUAAAGAUUUGGGUUUAGUUAAAUUUAUUCGUAAUUGAGUUUAGAAGGAGUAAAUUGAAAUACACUUUUAAAUUAAUAUUUGAGUUUCUCUAUCAAAAAAGGCUAUUUGAGUUUUAUAUUUUUAUUCCGACGUCAAAUUCUUUGAUAUGUAUAGACUAUAUUUGAGAUACUUUUCGCUUUGAAUUUCUAUCACGCUCUGAGAAAUCAAAUAUAUAUAUAUAUAUUUCUCUUGAUCUUAACUUUAAAGUUUAAAGUGAUAUGAGAUUUUUACACAUACUAAAACAAUUUUUUCACAAAUAAUGCAUCCAUUGAUAUCCUUGUCUUUGGGUUUCGACAGCAAUCUGCGUACAUCUGGUGCAAUCCAGUUAGGAAAUUUGAACUCUCCCCUGCCAAUAGAACAUACAAGAUCAUAACUCCUUCUGUUUAUCACUUCCGGAGCAGCAUAGGCAGGGGCACCACAUGUAGUGUGGAGUAAUCCAUUUAUAUUCCCAUUUUCAUCCAGUAGAAGAUUUUCUGGUUUCAGAUCACGAUGGCACACACCUCUGCUAUGGCAGUAGUCAACAGCGCUGAUCAAUUGCUGAAAUUAUCUCCUAGCAUCAUCCUGCUUGAGCUUUCCUUUGGAUACCUUAUUGAAGAGCUCACCACCUUUUACAUACUCCAUAACAAAGUAAAUUUUGGUUUUGCUGGCCAUUACCUCGUAAAGCUCAACCACAUGUGGAUGCCUGGUUAGCCUCAUCGCUGAAAUUUCGCGCUUAAUCUGAUCAAUCAUCCCAACUUUCAGAAUCUUCUCCUUGUCAGUAAUCUUAAUGGCCACACUCAUGCCAGUUAUGAUGUUCCUAGCAUGGUAGACUUUUGCAAAGGUUGAACAAGGAUAGCUCAGAUGGAGGCACGGACUCAUCAGCCUCGGUGAAGGAAUUCUUAACUGUCAAGCACAUCUUUCAGCAUUCCCUGAUUUUGGUGAUGACACUAGAGAACAAUGAAGAAUAUGGACUUCUUGGAAUGUUUGAAGAAUAAUUAAGGAAUGAAGCAGCACCUGGUUAGCCUUCCAAUUACCCAGCAGCAGAAUAUACAAUGAAAGACACACCUGAAAGAAAGAUGAACAAAUUUAAUAAGUUGGGAUGAUUGUCAGAGAAUAUAAUCUCCUGAAUGAAAUUCUUGAAACUUCUACAAACAUAACCAGCAUAACAAUUUUUAUAACUUGUUUCUGAUGUCAUUUUUGAACAAUCCCAAAACCAUAAGGCAUUAGGUGAGUUUUGAUCAUAUUUAAACAGGACUGGAUUAAAAAACAAAGUAUUUAGCACAUCAAUUACAUUUCUCUCAGGUAGUCUAGUCGUUUUUAGAGUUCUUAUAAAUAAACGAUUCAUGACCAAGAAGAACAACACAAGACUAAACAAGUAUGACAGAAAUGUAAGAUUGUCAAAAAUCAAGAAUAAAUCGAAACCAGAGAUGGCCACACAUUAUGCAGAAGAAAUAAAAUUUAAUCAAACAAUCAAUCAGCAGAUGGCAGAAAGCACACUAAUACAACAAAAUACAUCAAUAAUGAACUUGAGAUUCAUAAAAAAGGAGCAUGCAAACAAGUGAGACCUGCAUUCUGUUUUGAAUUACAUAGACAAAUCAAGUCAUUCACACUCAUCUGCCCAAAUUAAUCGUCUAAAGUUGGGAGAGUUUAAUGACACUCGAGAAGAAAAUGAAAAUUCAGUAAGGUUUCAAAUAAGCAAGUAUAAAUAUAACUGAGUUGCCACCGUUUUCAGAUGAAUGUGGUUCCACUUUCCAUUACAAUCGUUACCGUUUGGCAGUCUAUCUACCAAUUUUCAUGCUUGGGUCACAUGCACUAAGUUAUUGUCAAUACAUAUUGGCAACAAAUUAAAAUUUUCCAGAUGAAAAAAAAAGGAAAAAAUUUACAAAUUUGCCGAUAAGAGAAAAAGGCAAAUAAACACAAACACCCCUCUCACCAAGAGAGAGCUUAACUCAUGAAAAUAACAACCAUCCACCUAUACCAGAAUUUGGUUUUAAAAUAUCAUAAUUUUGUACUGUUUAUUUUUAAACAUGUUAUUAUUUGUAAAAAUUGACCAAAGGUGCACUUAGAUCUUCUCAUGCUACACAAAAAUCAAGUUUAAUAAACAUUAAGAAAUAUUUGUUACAUUUAAUAAGGGAGAUUUUCAUAAUAAAAAAAAUUCUGAAUUUCAAUAAAAAUACAUUUGAUGAUCUAUUUUUUGUAGUAUAAAAUCUUUGUAUAACAUUAGAAAUUAUGAAAUGUAAAGUCAUAAAAAGGAAUAUUGAUAUACUCUAUAUUGUUUCUAAGUUUUUUACUAUCCACUUUGUAGUAGUAUUGAAUAAGUAAAAUUCUAUCAAAAUCUUUCACACAAAUAAAAUCAGGUGAAAUCUCAAUAUUAUGAUUGGGCAAGAUUUCCCUCAUGAAUGAUAGAAUCUGAAUUUUAUUUGAUUCUUGCUUGCUGGUUGAUUUUUUCUUAAGAAUUUAACAAAUAUAUCUUUUAUAUAUAUAUAUAUAUAUAUAUAUAUAGAUUUUAAUGCAUUAAUAUACUUAGAUUAGAUACAUUAAAUUUCAAAUUUCUGUAACAACCUUUGUGAAUUAUAAGGAAAGUCUGGUCAACUAAAUAAGCUAAUUUACACUCAUGCAUACAAUCACUUCAAAGAAAAUGACUAUUUACCUUUUUUUUCAUUUAUUUUAUUACUACAUUUAUGAAAAUUAUAUAUAUAUAUAUAUAUAUAUAUAUAUAUAUAUAUAUAUUUCACUUCUUUUACUUCAUCUUAUUAAAAAAUGUAUUGUAUUUCAUUUUUUUAUUUUUUUUAGUGAAAUACACUUUAAUACUACUUAUUCAUAAAAUAAAUAAAAUGGAAUACUUUUAGAAAGUGUGUUUGAUCUUUGUUUUAAGAGUAUUGAUUAAAAAAUUAAAAAAAGAUUUGUUUUAUUAACAAGACUCUAACAAAUAUUUAGGAGAAGAGAUGAUACUUAGCUGGAUUCUACUAAGCAAUAGGGGUGGAAAUAGGUCAGGCAAGACUUUAAAAGGCCUGAGCCUAGUCUACGAUGAAUCUUUGAGGUCUGAGUCUGACCUAUAGCCUAUCAAAAACUUUUAUUUUAGCUCAGCCUGACCUUUUUAAAAGCCUGGUGUGGCCUGAUAGCCUUUUUAAAAGCCUUCUUCACAAUAAAUAUUUAAUAUUUUAUGGAGUAAGAACAUAAUAGGAAAGUUAAAGAAAAAGGAAAGUCAAUCAAAAUAAUGAGGAAUAUAAAAGGACACCGUACUCACACCUAAAUUGUAAUUAAAGUUCUUGAUUAUAGGAAUAAAAGUUAUGGAGUGUAAUCAAAGUCUGAUAGUUUCAAAAAAAAAAUUAAUUGUAUCCAAAAAAUAAUAUUAUAUAUUGGUACCCAAAAAAUAAUAAUAUAUAUAUAUAUAGGCCGGCCUAUCAAGCUUAUAAGGUUUUUUAAUAAGCCUAAGUCUGAUCUGUUUAAUCUAAUAGGCUUUUAAAAAAGUCUUAGUCUAACCUUUUAAUUAAAUAGGCUAGACUUUAUGUAGGUCAGGUCAUAGGCCCCUGUAGGCCGGCUUAGCCUAUUCCCACCCCUACUAAGCAAGUACUCUUGUAAGGUUUUGUUUGGUAGUACAAAAGAUAAAAAUAAUUGUGAGGAGAAAAAAUAAGUUAGAGGAUAAAUAACUUCAAGACUUUAACAAAUAUAUAAUUUUUUAUUAUUAUUAGAGUUAUAUCUAUUUAUAUUAUAUGUAAAGAAAAUUUGAAUUUUUUUGAGUUGUUAGAUCGAGAUUUUAACGACAUAAUAAUCAUUAAUAUGAAGUUCACUUAAAUCCAUUUCAACUAUGGAUAAAAACUUAUACUUCAAAAUAGCCGUUGAUUUAAAAUACAAAUAUAUUUAUAGAAAUUAUAUUUAUUAAAUAUGAUAAUAGAAAAAAUAUUUUUUUAAAUAUAAUAAAACCUUUUCAUUUGCUCACCAUUUUUUUCUUGACUUAAUUUUUUUUUCUCAUUUUACUAUUAUUGUUUGAGAUAAUCUCACUAAAUAUUUUUUACUUAACUAAUAAUAGCAUUUUUCAAUAGAUAAGAUAUGAAGGAUGAUCAUAAACCAAGAAAUUUCAUGAAAAUAUACAUCAAAUAAUUACAAUAUAUAUACAACAUAUAAAAAUAGAGUUGAAUUGAAUGAUAAUUUUGAUGACCACCAUUUCAAAGGAAUUACUUUAAUCACUCCCUCUAGAUUAUUAUUAUUAUUAUUAUUAUUAUUAUUAUUAUUAUUCACAAUAUUCUUUACUAUAUUAGCAUCCAGACCAACGUGAUAAGUGACGCACCACCAUAAUAAUAAUAUUUAACUUUUUGUUAUUUUUUAAAAGAAAAAUUAAUUCCUUUAUUUUUUAAAUAUUAUUUUUAUAUUAAAAAUAUAGUAAUUCCUUUAUUUUAUUUUUUAAAAAAUUAAUUUAUUUUUAAUGUAAAAAUAAUAAUUAAAAAAUAAAGGAAUUAAUUUUUCUUUUUAAAAAACUUAAAUUUUUAUUUAACAAGUUAAAUUAAUAAAUGAAUUUUUUUGUUUAUAAUAUUUAAAAAAAAUGUAUAUAAACUAGUUAUAUAUUUUUUUAACAAUUUAUUUAUACUAGAAUACAUUACAUCAUAAAUAAAAUACAUGAACAAUAAUAUUUAUCUAAGAAAUAUCUGAAGAUGAAGAUAUAUUGGAAUAAUUUUUUCUGUUAUGUCUUUAUUAUCGAAAAUUUUCACAUUUAUUUUUCUAGUAUGAAUACCAUAGUUGUUUGGUAAAAAACUAUAAUAGGUUGUAACAUGUCUCCUUACCAAGGAUUAAUAAUCAAAUGAGGUUGGUAAUGGGGAUGAUUCAUGUGUUAAUUAUUUAUGCUUUCAUUAUUUUCAUGUUUCAAUUAUUAUUGUUAGUCCAUUCUGUUAUUUUUGUUUUAUUAUAUGUUCCAUUUAUGAUGUUUGUCUCUUUAAUUUUUAGUAUUUUAUGUUAUUUGAGUAUUUUAAUUUCUUAAUAUAAUAUAAUUAAGAUGUGAUAAUCAUAUAUAUAUAUAUAUUGUGUUUUUAAUCAAUCUAUUUUUUUAAUCACUUUGAUUUUUAAAUUUAUUUUAAGAUUAUUAAUUAAUUAUUUUCAAACUAUUAAUAAAUAAUUAAACAAAAAAUAUUCUUAUUAUUUAAAAAACAAAAUAAUAAUAUUAAAAAAUUUAGUUAUAUUUUUAUCUGCAAAUAAUAUUUAAAAAACAAGUAAAUUAUUUUUAAAAAAAAUAUAAAAAAAGAAUUUAAUAUUUUUUUUAAAAUUAAAAAAUAAUAGGAGCAAAGAGAAGGUGGGUUCCCUAACCCCGACUUCUCUCUGCAAACUAAAAAGGAGUGUUGUUUAGGAAACAAUUUUGAGGCAGGUGUAUUUUGGAAAAAAAAAAAUAAGGAGAGAACAAGUGCACUGGAGUGAAAAAAUCCAAUAUUCUUGUAAGGUUUUGUUUGGUAGUAAAAAGAGAAAAACAAUUGUGAUGAGAAAAAAUAAGUUAGAGGAUAAAUAUCUUCAACACUUAAACAAACAAAUAAAAAAGGUUUUCUGGAAGUUCACUUAAAUCUAUUUUAACUAUUGAUAAAAAUUUAUACCUGUUGAUUUAAAAUAAAAAUUAUAUUUUAUAGAAAUUAUAUUUAUUAAAUAUGAUAGGAGAAAAAAUAUUUUUUAAAUAUAAUAAAAUCUUUUCAUUUGCUUGUCUUAAAUUGAUUUUAUUAGUAUCUAUUAUUUAUUUUAUUGAUUUUAUUUAAUAAAAAAUCACACACUUUUCUUUUUAUUGAUUUUAUUUAAUAAAAAAUCACACACUUUUCUUUUUACACACAUCUUUGAGAUACAUAUAACCGAUAUUCAAAUCUUGAAUUCAUUAAUAUUAUGUUUUUAGGGAUCAAUUAGCAUGUGUCCUUUCUUUAAUUCUUUCUCUUUUGAUUUGUUCAACAUUUUUUUUUGGCUUAGUAAUUUUUUAAUCUCAUUUUUCUAUUUUUCUCCUAACAAAAUUUAUUCUAUGUGUAAGAAUUAAUAAAUAUUUAAAUCUUUUACCACUUGAUUAAAAAACAAAAAUCACUAUCAAUUAUUUUAACGGUUUAUAAAAUCAUGAUUCAGUAUUAGAUCUUUAUAGAAUAACAUAUCUCUAUGACAACUUUAAUGAUCAGUGUUUGAUCUCAUAUUUGAUUAUAAAAAAUCCCAUUGAAAUAUAAACUAACACGAAUUUAAGUAAAUAUUUGACUAUUUGACUAUUUACUUUAACAAUCGCAAAACCAUAAGGCAUUAGGUGAAUUUUGAUCAUAUUUAAACAGGACUGGAUUAAAAAACAAAGUAUUUAGCACAUCAAUUACAUUUCUCUCAGGUAGUCUACUCGUUUUUAGAGUUCUUGAAAAUAAACGAUUCAUGACCAAGAAGAACAAAACAAGACUAAACAAGUAUGACAGAAAUGUAAGAUUGUCAAAAAUCAAGAAUAAAUGGAAACCAAAUAUGGCAACACAUUACGCAGAAGAAAUAAAAUUUAAUCAAACAAUCAAUCAGCAGAUGGCAGAAAGCACACUAAUACAACAAAAUACAUCAAUAAUGAACUUGAGAUUCAUAAAAAAGGAACAUGCAAACAAGUGAGACCUGCAUUCUGUUUUGAAUUACAUAGACAAAUCAAGUCAUUCACACUCAUCUGCCCAAAUUAAUCGUCUAAAGUUGGGAGAGUUUAAUGACACUCGAGAAGAAAACGAAAAUUCAGUAAAGUUUCAAAUAGGCAAGUAAAAAUAUAACUGAGUUGGCACCUUUUUUCAGAUGCAUGUGGUUCCACUUUCCAUUACAAUCGUUACCUAACUUUGGCAGUCUAUCUACCAAUUUUCAUGCUUGGGUCACAUGCACUAAGUUAUUGUCAAUACAUAUUGGCAACAAAUUAAAAUUUUCCAGAUGAAAAACAAAAGGAAAAAAUUUACAAAUUUUCCGUUAAGAGAAAAAGGCAAAUAAACACAAACACCCCUCUCACCAAGAGAGAGCUUAACUCAUGAAAACAACAACCAUCCACCUAUACCAGAAUUUGGUUUUAAAAUAUCAUAAUUUUUUACUGUUUAUUUUUAAAAAUUGACCGAACGUGCACUUAGAUCUUCUCAUGCUACACAAAAACCAAGUUUAACAAACAUUACACAUUUUAUAAUAAUUUAUGUGUCUUUUCUUUCACAUGAAAUAUAUAGCGUGUUGGAAAUCAGUUUGAGAAAUAAAAAAUCAUGUCUGAGAUAUGUAGAAGAUAUAACUAGUAGCUUCAUGAAAUCACAUUCCCAGAGAAUGAUCACGUCGAUGAUGUGAAAUCAAACACGCUAAUAGACUACAAAUAACUCAGAAGCAUAAAAUUUAAAUCCCCUAUACCAUGAUGACGGAUGUUUCUCAUGAAACAAACAAAGAGAAAAAGAGACAAUUUAGAAAGAAAAAAUCACUUUAAAACCCACAAUAAUAAAAUCGAAAAGUUUAAAAACCUUGAAGGCAAAAAUGAAUCCAGAUUUCAAAAUUUUCAAAUAAGAAUGAAGAUAAAAAUAAUAAUAACUCAGAAAAAUAUUGAUGAAAAUUGAAAUGGCUAAAUCUCAAUUUACCUGCAAGAUGGUUUGAGAAGACCUCUCUCUCUUUGUGUUCUUUGCUUUAUGGUGCAAUGAGAGGAAUGAUGAUCAUAGAGGCGUUAUAACUAAGAAGGAGGAAGAGAAGACAGAAGUUGCUGCCAAGUUUAAUAAAUAAGAGCAUUAGAGAAUAUUCUAACACCUUCUAGUUCUAACUUCUAAGCUGUUUCUCAAACCCACAUUGUUAGCAUAUGAAAAUGUUGUCUCAAGCAUGUGUUUAAUCAUUUUAAAGACCAAAUAUUAUAGUAUGGUAUAUUCUUUAUCUUUAUGUAUUCAAAAUAAUAUUUUUUUUAUUAAAUGUUCUUUAAGCAUUGACUAGUAUUUAUAAAAAUAAUAGAGUAAAAUAUUUAAUUUGUUACAUUUAAUUAGGGAGAUUUUCAUAAUAAAAAAAAUUCUUAAUUUCAAUAAAAAUAUAUUUGAUGAUCUACUUUUUGUAGUAUAAAAACUUUGUAUAGCAUUAGAAAUUAAGAAAUGUAAAGUCAUAAAAAGGAAUAUCAGUAUACUCUAUAUUGUUUCGAAAUUUUGUACUAUCCAUUUUAUAGUAGUAUUGAAUAAGUAAAAUUCUAUCAAAAUCUUUCACACAAAUAAAAUCACGUGAGGUCUCAAUAAUAUGAUUAGGCAAGAUUUCCCUCAUGAAUGAUAGAAUCUGAAUUUGAUUUGAUUUUUGCCUGUUGGUUGAUUUUUUUCUUCAUCUUUCUUACAAUUUCAAUUAAGAAUUUAACAAAUAUAUCUUAUAUAUACAUAUAUAAAUAGAUUUUAAUGCAUUAAUAUACUUAAAUUAGAUACAUUGAAUUUUUGUAACAACCUUUGUGAAUUAUAAGAAAAGUCUGAUCAACUAAAUAAGUUAAUUUACACUCAUGCAUACACUCGCUUCACUUGAACAUAACUCAAUCGUCAUCAUUAUUAUUAUAGUGAGUGAAAUAAAAUGCAAAAUUCUCAUUACUAAAAAAAAUAGCCAUAAAAGGUCUUGUUAAUAAAUAUUCUUAAAUACUAAGAAAACUUAAAACUUAAAAAUAUUAAAUAAAAAUAUAAUAUUAGAAUAUUAAAAUUGUUUGAAAUUUAAUUUCAUUCAAAUAAUUUGCUUUUUUAAAAAUCUUAACAAUUCCACUUGUUACAAUGUGACAAAACAUUCAAGGAAGAAAAAACAAAGUUAACUUAGAUGUAGGAGUGAGAAAUAGGACAACAAAUGGUGCUAUAAAAGUAAUGUCUUGUUAAUAAAUAGAAAAAAUAGGUCAUAUAAUAAAAGUGUAAAUCAAAUUUAAAACUUCAUUCAAUAUUAUUUUAUCAUCUAUAAUAACUAUAAUAAUUAUCUUUAAAAUUAUAUUAAUGAUGAUAUAUGAGUGAAUAAUAAUAUAAAAUUACUUUAUACUUAAUGCAUGGGUUUAAAUUAUAGAAAUAUUUUUAAAUGUUAAAUAAAAAUAUAAUAAUAGUAUAUUAAAAUUGUUAAAAAUACUGUAUAGUUUAUCAUUCAAACUUUUUGGUCCUUUAUUAAAUCUUAGUAACAACUCUCUUGUUAUAAAGUGACAAAAUCUUUUGGGUGUGAGAUUGGUGAGAAUUAGGGAAAAUGAAAAUGAUGCUAUGCCAAACAUCCUUCAACACCUAACCACAAGGCGGGCUCUUCCCAUGACUAGUAGCAAGGUCAUCCAAUCAUAUGGUGUCACGUGGCGGAUGAAUAUUCGUAGUACCAGCCAGUCAACGCCUUCCCGUGUUGUGCUCUAUAUACAGAUGAUAGCUGCACGAAUGAUAAGAUACAUGUCAGUUACUGAUUCAUGGUCGUACCUUACAUGUCGAUCGGACGGGAACCGCUGUUCCAGAUUCAGAAUCAGGAUUCACACGGGUAAGACUCGAAUCAUUGAAUCAGGAGUAAAGAUCUUUCAUUUUUAUUUUUUAAUAACUAUUUUCUUCUUAUGUUUUAGUGUUGGACAAGUUUGUCUUUAAAAGACUAAAAUUAAAAUUUUAGUUUUAAAAGUAAAAGAAAUAUGAUAAAUUUAUUUAUCUGUUAAUUUUUUUAAUUGUUGUAAAUAUAACAUUAUAAUAAAUACUUUAAAAAAAAUAGAAAAUCAAACAUAACUUAGAAUAAACAUAAUAAUAAGCUUUUAAAUCAAUAUUAUGUUUAUCAUUAUGUUUGUUUUAACUAAGUUUUGUUUUCCUAUUUUUUAAGUGUUUAUUGUAAUGUUAUACUUGCAACUAUAGUUGUGAAACUCAGUUCGAUCAUUGACCAAAUCAAAAUAUUUGGUGGGUGGGUUAGUGGUGUUGGACCAGUCAUUGGACUUGUUUGACCUGAUAUAUUAUAAAAAUUUAAAAUUAUAUAUUUAUCUAUAUAUAAGUAUAUAACUAACAUUAUUUGAGCAAAAAAAAUCCAUCCAUACUUCAUAAUCUAAUAUAACAAUUGAUAAUAAUAAGACAUCAAAACAACACCGUAGAGGUGAUUUUUUUUUUUUUUGUAAAAUCAGUCAGGUCGGACUGGUCCAACCGGGAUCUGGUGGCUAAUUGUCCUAGUUUGGCUGGGUCCUCCAGUGUCAAUUGUAUGAUCGAUCCAAUAGUGGAACUGGUUCGGCUAGACCACCGGGUCUCAGUUGGAUUGGUCCGAAUAGCUGAGCCAAACUGGAUUUCACAACUGUGCUUGCAACGAUUGAAAAAUGAGAAAGAUGAAGAUUAAAUUAUAUUUUGGGUGAAUAAUCAUUUUUGUCCCUGGAUGUGUUGAGCAUUGACAAAUUCGUCCCUGAAUGUGUCAUGUUUGCUCUUUCAUUAAAAGUAACGAAUGGAAGUUAAUAGAUGAAUGAAUUUAUCACACUUUUUUCACUUUCGAGGACCAAAAUUAGAAUUUACAUCUUUCUGUAACGAAUUUGUCAGUGUUCUACAUAUUGCAUGACGAAAAUGACUGGUUACCCUUUUUUUAACGGCAUAAUAGUCAUUAAUAUAAAGUUCACUUAAAUCCAUUUCAACUAUGGAUAAAAACUUAUACUUCAAAAUAGCUGUUGAUUUAAAAUAAAAAUAUAUUUUAUAGAAAUUAUUUUAUGAAAUAUGAUAAUAGAAAAAUAUAUCUUUUUUUUAAAUAUAAUAAAACCUUUUCAUUUGCUCACCAUUUUUUUUUCUUGACUUAAAUUUUCUUUUUCUCUCAUUUUACUAUUUUUGUUUGAGAUAAUCUCACUAAAUAUUUUUUACUUAACUAAUAAUAACAUUUUUAUAUAGAUAAGAUAUGAAGGAUGAUCAGAAACCAAGAAAUUUCAUAAAAAUAUACAUCAAAUAAUUACAAUAGAUAUACAACAUAUAAAAAUAGAGUUGAAUUGAAUGAUAAUUUUAAUGACACAAUUUCAAAGGAAUUACUUUAAUCACUCCCUCUAGAGUAUUAUUAUUAUUAUUACUAUUCUAUAAUAGUAUCUAUUAUUUAUUGAUUUUAUUUAGUAAAAAAUCACACACUUUUCUUUCUACAUACUUCUUUUCUUUUUUAUGUACAAAUAAGGACAUAUUGAACUCUUUAAUUCAUUAAUAUUAUGUUCUUAGGGAUCAAUUAGCAUGUGUCUUUUGUUCAAUUCUUUCUUUUUAUUUGUUCAAUACUUCUUUUUUUUUGGUUUAAUAUUUUUUAAUUUUAUAUUUAUUUAUUCUAUAUGUAAAGAUUAAUCAUGAUUUGAAUCUUGUACCACUUGAUUAAGAAACAUAAAUUACUACUACUAAUGUCAAUUAUUUAUGAGAUCAUGGUUUGUUAUUAAACCUUUCUAGAACAACACAUCUCUAUGACAACUUUAAUCGUGCAUAUUAUAUUUAUGUUUGAUUUUCUAAAAUUAUGUUAAAAUAUAAACUAACAUGAAUUUGAGUAAAUGUUCAACUAUUUACUGGAAUUGAUUUUAAAUUUUAAAUUUAGAACUAAUUCUAAGUUAAGUAUUUUUAGAUAACUUUUGGAUUACACAAAAAAAAAUUAUUUUCAAUUUUACUACUAACUUAUUUUUGGAAUAAAAAUAUCCAAAUAUAAAUUAGAUUUGUGAAAUCAACUUUUGUACCGUUCAUACAAACACAUGUACAAUCUGCCUUAAUACAACUUGUCUUACAGACCAUUAACAGGAACUUAAAUACGCAAAGUACCCUUACAGCCAUCCAUACAUAUCACAAAGAAAAGGGAUCAGUGUUUUGUGAAACCUGCAAGCAAUUUCAGAAAUGAAAGAAAAAAACAUACACCACUGAUCCACACGGUUUGGAAACAGAAAUGAAACUAGUCAUAAGUCACCCACCACCAUAAUAAUACAAAUAAUAAAUAAAAAAACCUUAUCAAGAACGAGUGAAAGUGAAGCGAGUUGACUUACGAAGAACCAAUCCAGUUCAUAGCAACCAAUUCCUUGCCUUUGUCUUUCUACUCUGAUCAUCUUUUAUUCUUGAGGUAAUGGCAGCAGCAGUGGUAGGUGGUGCCUUUCUCUCUGCUUUCCUUGAUGUGCUUUUCGACAGGCUGGCUUCACCUGAGUUUGUUCACUUGAUCCUUGGAAAGAAGCUUAGCAAGAAGUUGCUUCAAAAGUUGGAGAUCACUCUCAGAGUGGUUGGAGCUGUGCUUGAUGAUGCCGAGAAGAAACAGACCACAAACACCAAUGUCAAACACUGGCUCAAUGAUCUCAAAGAUGCUGUCUAUGAAGCCGAUGACUUACUCGACCAUGUUUUCACCAAAGCUGCCAACCAAAACAAGGUAAGAAACUUUUUUUCUCGCUUUUCCGAUAGGAAGAUCGGUAGUAAGUUGGAGGACAUAGUUGUCACACUUGAGUCUCAUUUAAAACUCAAGGAGAGUCUUGAUUUGAAAGAGAGUGCAGUGGAGAACGUGUCAUGGAAAGCUCCAUCAACAUCUCUGGAAGAUGGAUCUCAUAUAUAUGGUAGGGAGAAAGAUAAGGAGGCCAUAAUCAAGUUGUUGUCGGAGGAUAACAGUGACGGUAGUGAAGUGUCUGUGGUUCCUAUUGUGGGCAUGGGUGGGGUUGGAAAAACUACUUUGGCCCAAUUGGUGUACAAUGAUGAGAAUUUGGAAGAGAUAUUUGACUUUAAGGCAUGGGUUUGUGUUUCUCAAGAACUUGAUAUUCUGAAGGUCACAAAAACUAUAACAGAGGCGGUUACUGGAAAGCCUUGUAAAUUGAAUGAUCUGAAUCUACUUCAUCUUGAAUUGAUGGACAAGCUGAAAGAUAAAGAAUUCUUAAUUGUCUUGGAUGAUGUUUGGACAGAGAAUUAUGUUAACUGGAGACUUCUUAAGAAACCAUUUAACCGUGGGAUUAAGAGAAGUAAGAUUCUUCUAACAACCCGCAGUGAAAAAACAGCCUCUAUAGUCCAAACUGUUCACAUCUAUCAUCUAAACCAAUUGUCGAAUGAAGAUUGUUGGUCAGUGUUUGCGAACCAUGCGUGUCUUUCCUCCGAAUCGAACGGGAACACAACAACACUAGAAAAAAUUGGAAAGGAGAUUGUUAAAAAGUGCAACGGACUGCCUUUAGCAGCACAGUCGCUUGGAGGCAUGUUGAGAAGAAAGCAUGACAUCAUGGAUUGGAAUAAUAUUCUCAAUAGUGACAUUUGGGAACUUUCUGAAAGUGAGUGUGAAGUUAUUCCAGCACUGAGACUUAGUUAUCAUUAUCUCCCUCCACAUUUAAAACGGUGCUUUGUUUAUUGUUCCUUGUAUCCACAAGAUUACGAAUUUGAAAAAUAUGAAUUAAUCUUGUUGUGGAUGGCCGAAGAUCUUUUGAAGAAAUCAAGCAAGGGUAGGACUUUAGAAGAGGUUGGUCAUGAGUAUUUUGAUGAUUUGGUUUCGAGAUCAUUUUUCCAACGUUCAAACACAAGUAGAAGUAGUUGGCCUUAUGGCAAAUGUUUUGUGAUGCAUGACCUCAUGCAUGAUCUAGCCACAUCACUCGGUGGAGAUUUUUACUUUAGAUCAGAAGAACUUGGGAAAGAAACAAAGAUCAAGACCAAGACUCGUCAUUUGUCAUUUACGAAAUUCAAUUCUUCAGUCUUGGACAACUUUGAUGUUGUUGGUAGAGCAAAAUUUCUGAGAACUUUCUUGUCCAUUAUCAAUUUUGAAGCUGCUCCAUUCAACAACGAGGAGGCACAAUGUAUCAUAGUGUCGAAGCUUAUGUACUUGAGAGUUUUAUCAUUUCAUGACUUCCAAAGUCUGGAUUCUUUGCCUGAUUCAAUAGGUAAAUUGAUCCAUCUGCGCUAUUUAGAUCUCUCUCGUUCAAGUAUAGAUACACUGCCAGAGUCAUUGUGUAAUUUGUACAAUCUGCAAACUUUGAAGUUGUGUAGUUGCAGAAAGCUGACUAAGUUGCCUAGUGACAUGUGCAAUCUUGUUAACUUGCGUCAUCUUGAGAUACGUCAAACUCCUAUAAAAGAGAUGCCGAGAGGAAUGAGCAAAUUAAAUCAUUUACAACAUCUGGAUUUCUUUGUUGUGGGCAAGCACCAAGAGAAUGGAAUCAAAGAAUUGGGAGGACUUUCAAAUCUUCGUGGUCAACUUGAACUUAGGAACAUGGAGAAUGUUUCCCAAAGUGAUGAAGCGUUGGAGGCAAGGAUGAUGGAUAAAAAACACAUUAAUAGUUUACUGUUGGAAUGGUCUGGAUGUAACAACAACAGUACCAACUUCCAACUUGAAAUAGAUGUGCUUUGCAAGUUACAGCCUCACUUUAACAUUGAAUCGUUGCAAAUAAAAGGCUAUAAAGGAACCAAAUUUCCAGAUUGGAUGGGAAAUUCUUCCUACUGCAAUAUGACACGUCUAACCUUAAGUGAUUGUGACAACUGUAGUAUGCUUCCUUCACUUGAACAGCUACCUUCUCUCAAGUUCCUUGUAAUUUCAAGAUUGAAUAGGCUGAAGACUAUCGAUGCAGGUUUUUACAAGAAUGAAGAUUGUCGUUCUUGGAGGCCCUUUCCCUCCCUUGAAUCUCUGUUCAUUUAUGACAUGCCUUGUUGGGAGUUGUGGAGUUCCUUUGAUUCAGAAGCUUUUCCUUUGCUUAAAAGUCUUAGAAUACUUGGCUGCCCCAAACUAGAGGGAAGUUUGCCGAAUCACCUUCCUGCUCUGGAAACACUUUAUAUUAGUGAUUGCGAGCUGCUUGUCUCUUCUCUCCCAACGGCUCCCGCCAUUCAAAGUUUGGAGAUAAGUAAAAGCAAUAAAGUAGCAUUGCAUGCGUUACCUCUCUUGGUAGAGACUAUAGAAGUAGAAGGAAGCCCAAUGGUGGAGUCUAUGAUAGAGGCCAUCACUAACAUCCAACCAACUUGUCUCCGGUCUUUAACAUUAAGGGAUUGCUCGUCAGCCGUGUCAUUUCCAGGUGGUCGUUUACCUGAAUCACUGAAGACUCUGCGUAUCUGGGAUCUUAAAAAACUGGAAUUCCCGACGCAACACAAACAUGAGUUACUGGAAACACUGACAAUAGAAAGCAGUUGUGAUUCACUCACAUCUCUUCCAUUGAUUACCUUUCCAAAUCUCAGAGAUCUUGCAAUCAGAAACUGUGAAAAUAUGGAAUAUCUUUUGGUUUCAGGGGCAGAGUCAUUUAAGAGUCUGUGUUCUUUGAGAAUUUAUCAAUGCCCCAACUUUGUAUCAUUCUGGAGAGAAGGAUUGCCUGCGCCCAACUUGAUUACUUUCAAAGUUUGGGGCUCUGACAAGUUGAAGUCGUUGCCUGAUGAGAUGAGUACUCUUCUCCCAAAGUUAGAACAUCUUUACAUAUCCAACUGCCCAGAAAUUGAGUCGUUUCCAGAAGGGGGUAUGCCACCUAACCUGAGAACAGUUUGGAUUGUCAAUUGUGAGAAACUACUGAGCGGCCUAGCAUGGCCAUCCAUGGGCAUGCUUACCCAUCUCAGUGUUGGGGGUCGAUGUGAUGGCAUCAAGUCCUUCCCUAAGGAGGGUUUGCUGCCUCCCUCCCUUACGUCUCUGUAUCUAUAUGACUUGUCAAAUCUGGAGUUGUUGGACUGCACGGGGCUUCUCGAUCUCACAUCCCUGCAAAUAUUACACAUAGACAAUUGUCCUUUGCUGGAGAAUAUGGCUGGAGAAAGGCUUCCUGUCUCUCUAAUAAAAUUAACCAUAAUGGGAUGUCCUUUGCUGGAAAAACGAUGCCGCAUGAAGCACCCUCAAAUUUGGCCUAAAAUUUGCCACAUCCCUGGCAUUAAGGUUGACGAUAGAUGGAUUUAGCCACCAAGGAUGAUCAACAGGUAUCUUCUAAGUCCAACCAACUACAAAACUAUUUCUGUCAAGGAUAUGUUUCAUUUCAUGUCUUUCUCCUUUUACGUUUUACUACAUCCUUCAAGUGAACUUCAGAAGGAUUUGAUGAUUUCAGCUUAUCUCUUAUCCCCUGUCCUAUACAUUAAUAGUGAUAUGAUUAUACUAAAAAUAUGAUAGAUAUGUAGAUAUGUAAGAAUUGAUAAAGACAUAAUAAAUAUACAAUUGCAAUUCGGUAAAUUGAAGAACAUACAUACUUCUUAGACAUUACUUAAAAACAAAAUCAAAAAAUUGUAGAUCAUUUUUUCCUAUUGAUCACAAAUAAGAAUGGUACUAUCAAUGAUCAAUCUCAUUUCUUUCUUGAAAUUAUCUAUAAACAAAACAAUUUUCAUAUUUGGUUCAUCAAGAAACUAUACUUUUUAUAUUUCUAUAUUAUACUUACUUCUAUGUUACACAUCACUAUAUUUGAUUAUCAUCAUUUUUUUAAAGAAUUGGUCACUUCACAUAUAUGUACCAGUGAAAUAUAUCAAUAUAUUGGUAUCAGAUAUAGAUGCAUGAAGCAAAUUAAAGUAUCAGUACUUUGUAGCAAAACACAUUCUUCAUAUCAUGACAUGAGGUAAAAAAAUAAGAUGAUAUUUUUGUAAGUAUUGGAAAAAGAAAGGUAAAGCUUCUGAAAUCAAAGAGACACUAAUUUUCCACAACAUCCUUCAAUUGGGCCAAGCUUCCUUUCCUAUUGACAAAUAACUGGUUGUUAGUGCCAGCCUUUUCUUUUUUCCAGUUUUCCAUUGAUGGUUAAAAGCUAAUAUGAACCUGUCACUCCUUAAAAUUUCCACCAAUGUUUGGUAAAUAAAUAUAUAGGAUAGUGAAUAAUACAAGCCUUGCAUUCUAUGGUUCCCGUCAUUGUGAAAAUAAAUAUAUAGGGUUUUUUGGCAUCUGCUAAUUUUCUUCAUUCCCAAAAGGAUUACACAAUCCAAAAUUGACUCUUCAUUCCCAAAAGCUAGGUUUUUAAUUUUUCUUCAUCUCCCACACUUUCAGAAACUUCUACAAGAGAAGUUCUUCAUCUCCCACACUUCCACAACCUCAUUACGCUGGCAAAUCUCCCAAUCACAGUGACGCACAACAACACAUGGCGAUGCACAAUGACACACGGCGAUGCACACCCAUACAAUCGUUCCCAUCGAUGGUGACCACAACGGCGCACACCCAGGUUUGGACUUUAUCAUAUGCUGUGUCGUUUUUGUAUGCUUUUUUAUAUUUUUUUAUACGCAUAUGACUUUUAUUGGUUGGUCGUAAUGACAUUGUCGUUGGCUAGUAUCUUUGUCGUCGACAGAUGAUUGUUUUUGGGGUUUCGACGAUGACUAUAACGACACUGUUGCCAUCGCGUUUUUCGUGGUGUUCAUCAUCCAUCUGGCCUCUAUCGUCAAACCUCUCCUCUUGUGUUCUCUUCUUUAUUCUCAAACUUCUUCUCUUCUCUUCUCUAUUAUGAAACUUGCCUUUUGUUCUCUAUUAUGAAACUUUUUAUGUUCUCUUUUUGUGAAUAUACAAUUAAUUUUUGUUAUAUUUCUCUAUAUAGGAUGUCUGAUGAAAUCAGUCUUAUUUUACACCACAAUGCUAAAUUCAUACAAAAUGCAAACGGAGCACUGGAGUAUGUCGAUGGUGAAUUCUAUGUCUGGGAAGAAGUUGAAAAAGAUUUGGUUAAUGUCUGGACACCCCAAGAAUUGUGCAAAGCUUACUGCAACUUUGUGAAAUUACUGACAAAUUCCUUCAACAAAAAAAUACUGACAAUUUGAUCCAUAAAUUUUUUACUGACGUUUAUGUCCAAAAAUGAUUUCUUACUAACAUUUUCGUCCAAUCUAGUCAGUAUGGUCACGUUGACAAUCAAUUUUGUGACAAGUUUGUCCCUUUGUGUCAUAUAGGCAAUUUUUUAAAUGGUAACAAAAGAAAGUUGACGGCAAGAUAUUUUUGUCACACUUUUAGCACUUUCGAGGACUAAAUUUUGUAUUUAAAUCUUUCAGGGACACAUUUGUCAGUGAAUUACAUUUUCAGGGAUAAAAAUGACUAUUUACCCAAUAUUGUUUUAAUAUAAAUAGAUGUUUUCGUACAUUGGCAUGUAGAUACCAUAUUUCAUAAGAAUUAACAAUCCAUUAGUUGACUUAAUACCGUCCAGCCAGAUGUUUUGGAUUAGUGAAACAUCUUCAAAGGCUCUCAUCUUCGCAUGAAGAUUUCUCUUAGACAGAUUGCCAACAUGUGAGCACCUACAGAGAUGAGGAAUCAAUAUUCCGAACCUGGAUUCUUCAUUCUACUUCUAUCAUCUCUAGGUACAAAGCGUGUCACAUCUAUUUUUGUCUUGUUUGAUAACUUCAUGGAAGGGAUGACAAAUGAAUCCAUUUAUCAUCAUUCAUCUAAUCCAUCCAUAAGUAAAUUCAUCCAAUCCAUCCAUUACAAAAAAAUAAAAUACAUACAUUUAAUUUUAUGAUGGUUAUUGAUCCAUUCACUAAGUUUCCAAAUCCAAUUAUGGAUCACCUAAUAAGUACUUAAUGGAUCAAUAUUGAUCCAACUUAAUAGUUAAAGAAUUUGCGGGCAAUCUUCAACCAACGACGGGCAAGAUUUUUUCGGUUUGGAUUAGUUUUUGGCAAAUGUUGGCACAAUUUUUUUGAUCGACGUUGAUAGAUAAUCUUUUUUGGCUAACAUUAGUCGAGAUUAUUUUUCAAUUUAUGUCUACUAGGGCUACUUUCCAACAAACGUUCAUAGUAUAAUUUCAGCUCAUAUCAGUCAAAGCAAUUUUUGGAUGAUGCUAAGUAGGGAUUUUUUAGUCGACUUUGGUCAAGGCUAUGUUUUGGCUGAUUUAGAACAGAGUUUUUUCGACCAACAUCACGUGAUGAUAUUUUUUAGUUGUCAUCAGUCGAGACUAUUUUUUUUAUUAAUGUCGUCAAGGUUUUAUAUUUGGUUGACGGUUGUGACUUUUUUAUGGUCGAUGUUGUCAAAAGUUUUUUCGAUCGAUGCUAUCUUUUGGUCAAUGUCAACUAGGGUAUUUUUUGCCUAAUGACUAUCGAGGUUAUUUUCUGGCCGACAUUGGUUAAGUUUUUUCGGUUGAAGUCAACUAAGGCUAUUUUUGGUUGAUGUUGGCUAGGAUUGUUUGGUCGGCAUUGACCAAGGCUAUUUUUUGGCUAACAUUAUUUAGGGAUUUUUUUGGUCGACGUUAAUUGGUGUUAUCUUCUUGAAAUACAAUACAUCACACUAGAAAGGGGGUGAAAUAGUGUGUUAAUCAAAAUAUAAAACCUUUUAAAAUGGAAGAUGUUUAUAAAAACCCUCGGCCAGUGAAAAAAAAUGGAUUGUCGUCCAAUGAUGUAUAAAACUUAUUUUUCACUGAAAACUUUUGUGUGCUAAAUUAUCACUAAUUGACUUUGAAAUACUUUGAUAAAUUAAAGAAAAAAGUAAAAAUACUCCAAUUUAUACCGGGUCACUUAACCUGAGUUACGUCUAGUUCUCCUUUAUUAACCAGUAAAGGGUUUCACUAAUCAAACUUGAUUAGAACAAGUAUUUUUCCGUACCACUUCCGGCUUAUAAGUAUUCUCAAGGUCAUUACUAAGAGGAAUUAAAACAAUGAUUAUCACAGAAAAUUGUCGUUGUUUUUUUCCUCUAAUUACAAAAUUACCACCCAGACACAUUCUAAAAUUAUCCCUGAUAGAUGUGCGUCAUUAAAUAGCUCAUUAUUCGUGAGUUCAUUUCAUUUAAUCAAUUUACAAUUUAUAGGUCACAAAUAAAGAAUAUAAAAAAAAAUCAUGUAACACAAAUGGCAGGAAAAAAAAUGAGGAAAGACUAGAGGCUUUCUUUGACACAAGUUGCAAACUAUGGAGUAGAACCCAAAAGGCUAUCUAAACCAUGUACAAAUACAGACACACAUGCAUAAACAGAUACAUUUUAAAGGAACAUCUAAAUCAGUUUUCAAAGUUUACCUUUUUUUUUAAAGAGUAAAUUUUAUUAGAAUGAAAGAAGGAAAUAGGACGAGAAGAAUAAGCCAUCCUAUGUCAUGAAAACUGAUUCCAGCAUGAAUGAGAUAAGUCAGCUGCAUCAACACCUCUAUCCUGCAUCAAAUUGGAUGAUGAAGAGCACUAGAAAACAAAUGGAAAAAUAUUAUUAAAAAAAAAGUUAGAGCUACCUCCGAAUUAGAUAUAUUCUCUGAUGAUGUACCAAAGCUGUGCAUUUGUAUCCAUCAGCUGUAAUUCACAAGGAACAAUCUUUAUAUUUAGGAGAAUGCAUUAUACAUUAAAUACAAUUGGCUUAUAAAUACUUUGACACAUACCAAAAACUGGAAACCACUUUCAGUUAAUUUUGGAGCUUCUUUGUCUCUGUAUUGGCACAUGAAAAAAUUAUAUCAAGUGUGAGAUUUUCAAUACCCAUUUACCCACACACGCAUAUAAGAGGACUGUUGUAACAAUCCUUAAUGAUAGGAUACAUUUCUCAUCACGUACUCCGGCCACCCCUAGCGUAAUCAUUAAGCAAAAAUCUGUUACAUAAAAAAUGAUGGUUAAAUUGAAACAGCCACCCCUAGCACCUAAUAUUAAAUAUAGUGACUUCAUAGAUUCAUAGUUGUCAAACUCUACUGCUUACCUUCUACGAGCAUUUGUCUUAACAGUCUUGGUAAAUACAAACUUCUCAAAAGCUAACUUUGCAUUGUUUGUUGGCCAGUCAUCUGAGUAAUACUUGACUGCCACACGCUUCCCUUCAGAGUCCAAAAAUUAGAAAUUGUUGAAAUAUAAAUGUAAAGUCAAGUCUCACAUUUGGUCUGAAUAAGAAGAUUAAACACCAUAUAAAUAAAAAAAGAUCCAUAAAACUUGAGCUUUAAUAUUUUAAAUUAAAAUAUGAUAUUAAACUGAUUUAUAUAAUUUCUGGGUAACCCAUUACAUUUCUCCUGUAUUUAUUCCUUGCACAGGAAUGAUUUACGAUAUUAGUUCAGCUGUCUUUUAGUAAUAGAUAUAGACAGUGACUGGGAAAUGAGGGUCCCCCAUUAAAAUUGCACAUGCAACUGCCGAAUGCAAUAGUAGUUGAAGAUUUUCUUUUAUCAAUGUGUAAUUUCUAAGAUUAAAGCAAAAUAAAAAUGUGUGCAGAAAUAGUAUAGUAAUCAGAGUGUUUCAUCCAUACGUCACAUUUAUUAAUAUAAUAAAAUAAUUAUAACUAUAUAUAGAGAGAAAUUGAAAACAUACCACUCCAAGACAACAAUAUUUAGUCUCUUUAUUUACAUAUUCGUAUCGCGGAUAUAAAUAUUUUAAAAAAAAAUAGAUAGAAUUUAUUUCUUAAAACAAGAAAAAAAAAAUAUUUUUAAAAGCACAAACAAUUCAAAUAAAAGGUGAGUUUGUUUAAAUUUUUUAAAAUAAUUUAAAAAUAAAUAUUUUUUUAAGAAACAAAUGGAAUUUAUUUGUUAAAAUAAGUAAAUUUUUUAAAACAAAAAUAAUUUAGACAAAUAUAUUAUAAAAAAUAACAAAAAUACUUAAUUAUAAGAUGGUGAUCAUGACUUUUUUUCUAGUACUAUGAAGAUUGAAGACAACUGAACCCAAACAAACAAAGUAAGAACACAAACACAACACUGGGCCUUGGUGAACACGGAAGACCAAAUUCAGUUAAAAAAGUCUAAACCAAAUUCUAAUAACAUGCGUACCUUGAUUGUUGGGUUAGUAGACCAAAAGACUAAGCUAAUGAUGGUCAAAUAUCAUAAACUAAUGAUGCUAACGUUGCAACAAGAGCAAGUUCCAAAGGCAUGCAGUUAAUAUUAGCUGGGUAACUCAUCCUUUUUCUUUUGGCAUCAAACAUCUAAAAAUGAGUUCAUCUUUGUUAUUUUCAGAUCAUGAAUAUGAUGAUUACAACUUUUAGCAUUUUGUUGUGUUCACCAAAAAAUAUCUUGUUAUUGUUGAAAUUAUAUACUUUUAGAUAUUGAGGGAGGAAAAGAGAUAAAAGAGAAUGACACACUGGGUUGAUAUUAACUUAGAUGUAUUUAAACAUUUGUAUAUUUGAUUUGAUAUAUUCAUAAAACCUAUAGUACUAACCCUUAUAUGCUAAUCAUAAUCCGAAUUAAGAAAACAAGUCAUGAUAAGAUAAAGAAAUAUGGCAACUAAUCACAAAUUCAAGACAGAUAAAGAGAAACUAAUACUAAGGAUAGUCUAAGAUAUUCUAAUAAGAUAUAAUAAAAUAUUUUCAUAUAUUCUAGCAGUUAUUAAAAAGAAUUCACAUCACAUAGGUGAUUUGACAAUCUAAACCCUCAAGCUUCGUUUUCUAAACAUAUAUACUAUACAAAAACAGGAACAGCAAUUAAAGCAUUCAGUUAAACCUCUGGAGUUCAAAAUAUGAAUCCUAGAAGUGGGUUGUACAUGCUCAACAUUAAACUAGGCCUCCAAUAAUUGCAUAUUAAAUUGCGUAUCCAUUGACUGAAUUUUGGAUGAAUUCAGCAUGGAUCCAGGCAUCCAGCGAUUUUCAGGUUCCAUAAAACAUAAAAAUCAAUACUCCAAUCAUAUUUGUCAAUCUCCUAUACUUUUUGUAAGAAAAAAUUAGAAACACAAUAAAAAAAUAGCAAAAAUAAAAUGAAUAAAUAUGUGCAAUCUGAAAGUACAAUAGCUAUUCAUAAAAGAGAAGAUACAAAAAGUGAAAAGUUUAACUUACAUUGUUGAAAUAAGUGAGUGGAUUUGGCCAUAAAUCAUCCUUGAUUAAUUCUGCAACCUGCAUUUAGAGUGAAAUAAUGCUUUAGGACUAAUGUGAUUAUGUGAAGAAGAAAAAAAGAAUAUACCUAAAGAACUUCAAUCUGGAAAGAAUUUUAUAAGACCAGAAAAAAAUAUACCUCGUCAUGAAUUUCAUCCACAUCAUCUUUUUGCUCACGGUCACUAAACCAACUAAAGAAACUGCAUUUAUUGGCACAAGAAAAUUAAAAUACUAAUCAUUGGUUCCAUGAACUAUUUACAAAAGGAGCUUUAAUAACAUUUCCUUCAAAUAUAAUUAAUCAAAAUAAUUGGAAUACAAUACAUCACACUAGAAAGGGAUGAAAUAGUGUGUUAAUCAAAAUAUAAAACCUUUUAAAAUGGAAGAUGUUUAUAAAAACCCUUGACCAGUGACAAAAAAUGGAUUGUCGUCCAAUAUAAAACUUAUUUUUCACUGAAAACUUUGUGUGCUAAAUUAUCAAUAAUUGACUUUGAAAUACUUUGAUAAAUUAAAAAAACAGUAAAAAUACUCCAAUUUAUACCGGAUCACCUGAGUUACGUUUAGUUCUCCUUAGUUCUCCUUUACUAACCAGUAAAGGAUUUCACUAAUCAAACUUGAUUACAACAAGUAUUUUUCCCUACCACUUCCAGUUUAUAAAUAUUCUCAAGGUCACUACUAAGAGGAAUUAAAACAACAAUUAUCACAGAAAAUUAUCGUUGUUUUUUCCUCUAAUUACAAAAUUAACACGCAGACACAUUCUAAAACAAUCCCUGAUAGAUGUGCAUCAUUAAAUAGCUCAUUUCUAGUAGUGAUUACACCUUUAUUCUAACCGCAUGUAUAAAAAAGCAAAGCCAAACGAACUUAUUUGUAUUUUUUUCAAUAUUAUUUUCGUGAUGAUUUGUUUAGCAAAUAUUUAUUUGGUGAAAAAGCCGCUUUUAAUAUAUAUGUUGCAAUUCUUGCAUAUGUGCAAAAAUGUUUUAUAAAUGUCAAUCCAUGUGAGCAUUGCCGGAUAUAUAUGUAUGAUAUAUACGUAAGCAGAAAUGGUAGCCCAUAACGAUAUUGUGGUUCAUCCAAGUGAUUAUCCAAGUGCAACCUGAUUGCCAAACUUUAUCAUAAAGUAGCUAGGGAUUCAAUUAUAACUACAAACCAUUCUGAUAUCAUUCAAUUGUUGAAACAAUUAGCAAGCAGUAGCGAAAUAGUGCGAACAAUUCGUGAGCUGGAAUGCUAAUCUUAAUUAUUGGCCAACUUCUAUCCAUAUCAAUGAUAACCCAUCUGCUUUUCAGAUGCACUGUCUUUCAUAAAUUUCUAUCUUUGCAAUAUGUGCAUUCUUAUUCCACUUAUGAUCAUGAUAUAUCCUCAAGAUGACGGAGGAUCUUCGCUAUAUAGUAUAUACCCAAGCCAUGCUUUGAUGAGUGACCAUACUAUUAGAAUGAAAAUUAAGAAAAUUAAAAAGUUGAGUUAGAAAUUUUAUUAUAUUUUAUUUUUAAAGUUAAUAUGUAAUAUAUAUUCUUGUGACCAACAUGUUAUUGCCUAGAGUGAAAUUAAAUCUGAUGCAACCAAAUGACUAAGUGACUGAGUAUAAGUUAUUAGUUUAUUUAAAAUAAAGUUGAAUCGUUUGGAUAUUAUCUGAAUUCGGUUUAACAAAAAUAAUUAUUGAUAAGAUUUUACUUAACUCUGAUUUCAGGAUCAUUUUCCAUGAUGAAUCGAAGAGUUAAGACAAAAAUAAAAUACAUCUCCUUAACUCAAAAUUUUAGAUUUAAGUCUUACAUAUUAAAAAUAAUUAAAAAUAGUAACUUCGUUAAAGAUUACUAACUAAAUUUCUCUACAAAGAUGAGUUAUCAGUAUAUAAAAUUGAUAAAUACUUUACAUUAAUGUCAUGAAAAAAUAUAAUUUAUAUUUAGUGCAUGAGUUUAAAUUAUAGAAAUAUUCUUAAAUAUUAAAUAAAAAUAUAAUAAUAGUAUAUUAAAAUUGUUUAAAAAAACAUUAUAAUUUAUCUUUUACAAAAGAUAAAAAUAAUUGUGAGGAGAAAAAAUAAAUUAGAGGAUAAAUAUUUUUAAGACUUUAACAAAAACAUAAAAUAAAAAUUCAUUUUUAGAGUUAUGUCUAUUUAUAUUAUAUGCAAAGGAAAUUUAAACUUUUAUGAGUCGUUGGAUCUAGGACUUUAACUACACAAUAAUCAUUGAUACCAAGUUCACUUAAAUUUAUCUCAACUAUUGAUAAAAACUUAUAUUUCAUAAUAAUUUUUUAUUUAAAAUAAAAAUAAAAAUUAUUUUAUAGAAAUUAUAUUUAUUAAAUAUCAUAAGAGAAAAAAUAUAUCUUUUUUUAAAUAUAAUAAAAUAUUUUCAUUUGCUCAUCAUUUCUUUUUUUACUUAAAUUUUCUUUCUCUCUCAUUUUACUAUUGCUGUUUGAGAUAAUCUCACUAUUUUUUUUUACUUAACUAACAGUAACAUUUUUGUAUAGAUAAGAUUUGAAGGAUGAAAUUUCAUGAAAAUAUACAUCAAACAAUUACAAUAAAUAUGCAACAUAUAAAAGUAGAGUGGAAUUGAAUGAUGAUUUUUUAUGCCAUAAUUUCAAAAGAAUUACUUUUAUUCCUCCCUCUAGAUACUGAAAACACCAAUUUACUUAAGUAGAGUAGGGACAAGACCAGAUAUUUCUGGACUCUUUAUCAGUCAAAACCUUCAAAUACUGAGAUGGGUUAAGGUAAUGCAAUCUAUAGCUUAAAAGGAAUUUAGAAGUGAAAAUAAUGUUUGCUUCAUAUUAUACCUCAGCCAAUUUUGGAACAAUCUUAGGGAGACACCGAGACAAAUGCUGAGGAGCACGGUAUGCCAUAGCACCAAGUACUUGUACACUACUUUGUUUUGUCCUCCAAGCUUUAACUUCAAGACCCCGAACAAAUAAAUUAGCUAUGCGAUAGUUCAUCGAAAUAGAUGUUAUGGAUAGUAAUUUUUUAAUUUGUUCAAUUUACAUGCUAUGUUGGAAUGAAAUUAAUUGAAAAGAAGCAUUGGGCUGUAAACAAGGUUGCAUUUCAGUUUGCAGUAUAUUUGUUUGUACUGACCCAUGAUGUUAUGAUUGCUCUUUCAUCUUGCUUAGCAGUAAACGAUACAUAAUAUAGCAUGACUUAAAAAGAAAGGCACAAAUAAGGAGAUUUGAUGUUUGCUUGCAGAAUGCAGAUUGAUUUAUGCUUGAAGGCUGACACCUUGCAGAUUGAUUGCUCAUCAUCUUGGACGUGCCACUGGUAGUGGGCAAGUGACAAGGUCUUUGGGUAGUUUGCAGGAGAUACUAGGUUCAAACAUUUGUGCAAUCAUUUUUAAGUAAUUGCAUUUCAUUUGGACUAAAACUGGUAUGGUUUAUUGGAUUGACUUUUCAAAAACACCAUGUCAAUGUGUGCAACAUAAUUAAAUUAAUAUAGAACAUAUUGCUUGUGUGAUAGACUACCGAGGCUACUUAUUCUUUAAGUUGCUCUUUGUUGUUCCUGCUUAUGGCUUUCAAUGUAUGAAGUUAGGACACCUCUCCUGGUUGAACUUUGAAGUCACAGAAUUAGGUAUCCAAUUAAAAAUAUUUGUUGGUUCACACGCAUGAGCACCUGUUAUAUGGGUUCUUGUCAAUUUUUUACAUGACAUUGUGGUGUUCUAAAUCACAUAGAAGAGAAAACAGUGGAAAUUGUUUUACUGCUGUAAUCAUGCAUUACACAUGAGCCUUCUGGAAGGUUCCACUCUCUGUUUUCAGAGGAAAAUUUGCUAAGGUAUUAUUAUUUAUUUGCUUUUACUAAGGUAUUAUUAUUUGGUAUAUAUAUAUGUGCUUGAAUUAUUUAUAAACUUUUAUUUUGAUUCCGGGUUACAACAUAUCUUAAAUAUUUUCUUUUUUCUCUGUUUCUUUUUUCAAGUUUUCAAUUUCUGUUCUAGGGUAAUCUAGAUUCCAUAAGAUACCUCUGGAAAUGCAGAUAUGAUCUUGUUUUUUUUUUUUUGUAUUUUACCAUUCUAUAUAUUUUAUAUUAGUGUUGUUUAUUUUCUUAAAAUUGUCAUACAUAAUUAUAUAUGCUAUAUACUUGUUGAUAGGGAAGAAGAUAGAAGCUGGUUUUCGAGGACCAGGGCCUCCACAGAGAGAAGAAUAAGGGAGGGAACAAUUGUAUAUUCCAUUGAUUGAUGCUGUUAUUACAUAGUAUUAUUUAUACUGAUUUUUCAAUAAUCGAGUUUGUCUUUUUGUGCUACAGAAUAUCAGGAAAUGGUUAAGUUUGUCUACCCCUACAUGACCAGCAUCAUUCUUCCAGAUAGUACACCUGCUUGUUUCACACCUAAUCCUUGAGGUAAGUGGGCCUUGUAAUUGCUCUCUUGAUCUUGUUUUCUAAUUGCAUCCCCUGCUUCUGUUGCUUGCUUGCUGCAAGUUCCCACUGAUUCAAAUUCCAACAGUUCUGCAAAUAAAAUUGAAGAAGAAGCUAGAGGUGGGAAAUACUCAAGUCAUUCUCUUGAAAAAGUUGCUGCAAUGAUAUGCAACAAAAUAUCACUAUACGGAGUCAAGGUAAUUAUUGUGUUCACAUGAACAUUUCUCCCAUGAAAAUAUAUAUUUUCUGACUUUGUAAUCUCUUUAUAGUAUGCAUGGAAAAUGAAUUUUCUGAUUUUUUUUUUUCUCUGUAGUGUUAUAUAAUAUUUUUAAUCACAUUUUCUUAUUUAUUUAGUUUGUUUCUGAUUUGACAUUAUGUGAAUUUGGAGAUUCGGGUUAGAAAUGUUUUUGGAAUUUUCCUAGUUAGAACUUGAUAGGUCCAUAAUGAAGGUAUAUAAAAGGAUAGGGAAAAGAGGGGGUGGGGGAAUAGAAAAAGAAAGGACAAAUGGGCCUCGGAAACAAGACCUGCUUGUGUAUGAUAGCAGAAAGAAUCAGCCGUACAAGUUGCACUAGCUGAAGUGUAUAGUUGAAGUGUAGAAAGGAACAUAGGUUGACAUAAUGGAAUGGAUAACUUGUAAGGAGAGUGUAGAGGGAGACAAGAGAAUCAUGCCGGAUGAGAGGAGAGAGAGUCAGUAUUUUAAGGGGUAGAAACCAAAAAGAGGUUGAGACUAAGUUCUUCCUCGGGAAAGGGAGGGUGUUACAAACUGAACAUAAAUGCAGGAAAUUAAGAGCUGAUUUCGAGGCACCAGAACCUCCAGAGGAAGAAAAAGAGUAGAGAGGGGAGUAAUUUGCUAAUUUCAUCCAUAUUGUGCUGCUUAUUACAUGCUAUUGUAUUUAUACUGAUUUCUACAUAACAGAUUUUGUCCUUUUGUGCUAGAGGAAAUCAGAAAUCAUUUUUCUUGUCUCCCAUGCUUCCAGCACAGAUCAUUCAACAUCAUUCCUUAGGAUCACACGUAGUCCUUAAGGUAAGCAGGCUUUGAGAUCUUUCUUUUGGUAUUGACUGCUGCUUGCACCUCCUUUUCUGCUUGAUUUACACCCUUCUUUGCUGUAGACACCCCUAUAGUUGCUAUGUCUUGAUUCGCAUCUAUUUCUUUUGAAUACAUCCCUUUGUCUGCUAUGUUAUCACGCUUCCUUAUCACUCCCUGCCCCAUCAAAAACAUGUCCUCAUGGUGUUGGUUUUUCAAACUAUGGCAUCCAAAAACAAUACCGGGAUCCCAAGGUUUAUUCUGACGAACUGCACUAGGUGUGUCAAUGGGUAGUGAGUCAGGAGGAGCUUCAGGAAACCUAGCAAUAUGGAAGUGCGAAACACCCUCGUUGUGCCGACAGAGGUGACAGAACUGGUGUUGGGGAAGAAGACCCGGAGUGGUGGCGUUCUCACCCAGAAAUUCCACGAAGCGCCCGUGAUGAAAGAACAUCACGCGUAAUGGUGUUGGAGCGGUCCGGCAAGGUAAGCCCAGAGAGAUAGCUAGUUGAGGCUGGAGGAAGUUGUGGUUACUUCCCCCAUCAACAAGGAGGACCACACGAUUGUCGGAGAGAAGGCCGACGAGGUGCAAAAUUCUCGGUGCUAAAUCACCCGAUAAGGAGUUCGAACUAAUUUGGGCCAGUUCCGGGUCGGGUGUGGGGUUUGGGUCCGAGUCAGGUGUGGGUUUUGGGUCAGGUCCUUCGGAUACGGGUGUGGCUAGCUUCGGGUUAGGUUGCUCUAUAUUAGGACCCAAUGGGUAUGCGGUAGGGGUGGGUAGGCGGGCCACCCCACCCCGUGUAAGGCCCGCCCGCAUUGGAAGCGGAGCGGGCCAGUUCGCCCCGCUUCUUACACGGACCAAAUAAAUUGGUCCGCCCCCGCCCAUGGACCCCACGAGUCAAACGGGCCGAUCCACGGGCCUAAUUUUAAAAUAAUUUCAAUUUUAAUAAAAAUACAAUACAAUCAAAUUAAGUUCAAUAUAGAUGUAAAUAAAAUCUCAAUAAUUAGUCAAUUACAUCAAUAAAAUAAAUAAGGUCUUAACAAAAGAAAAUCCAAGCAAUAAAUCUAAAAUAUGAAAUUUAAACAUCUCUGACAACAAAUGAUUCCAUAUUUGAAGUAGCUUGAGCCUUCUCCAUCUCCACAUUUAAGAGUACAACAAAAAUGAAUCAGUCCCAACAAAAAUAGGAUAAAAACAAAUUCUAGAGAGAGAAGAGAUGUACUUUGCGUGGUGGCACGGUGGUGGGCCGAGGCUGUGUCGCUGUGGUGUGUCGCGUGACUGCGUGAGUAUGAGUCGCGUUUUGUUUUCCUUGUAAGGGAAAGAGUGUUAAAUAUGAUGUGAGCUAUUUUUUAUAAUAAAAAUAUAUUGAAAUAUCUUUAAAAAUAUUUAUUUAACAAUUAUUUUUUAGCUUAAAUGAUAAGAAUUGAUAUUUUUAUUAUUUAUGGCUUGCAAAUAUGAAAAUGAUAGAUUAAAAGAAAAAAAGAUCGAGAAAAUAUCAGAAAAGAAGAUUUUUAGCAUGUUAUCACUUAUCUUUUUUUAUCUUAAUAUUUUAUUUCUGUUAUCUUUUAUUUUUCUUAUCUUAUCUUUUUUAUCUUUACCAUCUUUUAAUUUAAAUCUUUUAUUUUUAUCUUUAAAUCUUUAUCUUAUAUAAUAUAUUUCUUUAUCUGUUAUUUUAAAAGAAAAGUUUAAAGUGAAAAGGAGAAAAUUAAACCUAAUAUAAUUGGGUCAGGGUCACACAAAUCAAACCUAAUGCGGGUUGCGGGCAACCCGUGGACCCCGCGGCCAAACCCGCAUAGUCCGUGGAUUAAGCGGGGCGGGCCAAAAAAUAUGACAUAACCAUGAACUGUUUUAAAAAAUUGGACCGUAACUCGCGCGGACCGCGUGCGCCGCGGGCCAGUCCAUGGACUUGGGCCCAUUUACCCACCCCUAGUCUACAAGUUCCUCAUCCUCUGCGAUUAAGAGAUGAACCCUAGAGGCACAUCAAUGGCCUCUAUGGAACUUCUCAUCGCAUGUGAAGCACAGCCCGUGCUCAUGGCGCGAGGCUAACUCCUCCGGGGUAUGACGCCUGACGGUCGGAGCCUAUGGCGGGGCAGGCAACAAAGGGGGCAAAGGCGUCAUACGAGGGGGAACCAAAGGGGCUGGCGGUGGAGCUACCAACGGUGGGGUCGCGGCCGCGGUGGAGGCAGACGAAGGUCUGAUAGCUUCUGCUCCUGGAUCUUCGCAAGGCCGGCGGCCUGGUCCACAGUCAUAGGCUGGUGGACUUGGACUGUGCGGCAGAUCUUCAAUGUCAAACUCGAGAUGAAGCAAGGCAACAGGAAGGGGGCCGACAAGCCGAUAAUUCUAUUAGUCAAGUCUUCGAACUCCUUCAGGUAUGUUAGCACUGAACCCGUCUGAGUGAGUUUGAACAAGGCAUUGGCAGGAUCCUCAUACGGUGAUGGGGCAUAUCGGAUUUGUGCAGGAACAGAGGUGGAGUGGCGAGGGACUGGUGUGGGGUUGGGCGUGGUGGAGGAAGGCACAAGAGCAAGGUGGUUGAGAAGCUUGUCCAUGUUGAGGGUCAUAGAGUGCAUGGUAUUGUCAAGACGAACAAGGGCCUCGUCGAGGUUGCAGGAGGCCAUGAGGACAAACGAGAGCACCAAUUGUUACGAACUAAACAUAAAUGCAGGAAAUUAAGAGUUGGCUUUGAGGCACCUGAACCUCCAGAGGAAGAAGAAGAGCAGAGAUGGGAGUAAUUUGCUAAUUUCAUUCAUAUUGUGCUGCUUAUUACAUGCUAUUGUAUUUAUAUUGAUUUCUACAUAACAGAUUUUGUCCUUUUGUGCUAGAGGAAAUCAGAAAUCGUUAUUCUUGUCUCCCUUGCUUCUAGCACAGAUCAUUCAGCAUCAUUCCUUAGGAUCACACGUAGUCCUUAAGGUAAGCAGGCUUCGAGAUCUUUCUUUUGGUAUUAACUACUGGUUGCACCUCCUUUUCUGCUUGAUUUGCACCCUUCUUAGCUAUAGACACCCCUGUAGUUGCUAUGUCUUGAUUCACAUCUAUUUUUUCUGCAUCCCUUUGUAUGCUAUGCUAUCACUCUUCCCUAUCAGAGGGGGUCUCUGGUUUUGUUUUUCCUAAUUACCAUUAUGUAAGAUCUAGCUUGUAUCCACCUUAUUCUUAUUAUUAUUAUUAUUAUUAUUAUUAUUAUUAUCAUUAUUAUUACAACUUUUUCACAAUAUUCUUUACUAUAUUAGCAUCCAGGCCAACCUGAUAAGUCACGCACCACCAUAAUAAUAAUAUUUAACUUUUUUUUUAUUUUUUAAAAGAAAAAUUAAUUCCUUUAUUUUUUAAAAUAUUAUUUUUAUAUUAAAAUAUAUUUAGUAAAACAGUAAUAUUACAAAAUUAAUUUAUUUUUAAUGUAAAAAUAAUAUUUAAAAAAUAAAGGAAUUAAUUUUUCUUUUAAAAAAAUUAAAUUUUUAUUUAAAAAGUUAAAUUAAUAAAUGAAUUUUUGUUUAUAUUAUUUUUUAAAAAAUGUAUAGAAACUAAUUAUAUAUAUAUUUUUUAACAAUUUAUUUAUACUAGAAUACAUUACAUCAUAAAUAAAAUACAUGAACAAUAAUAUUUAUCUGAGAAAAAAUUGAAGAUGAAGAUAUAUUGAGAUAAUUUUUUCUGUUAUGUCUUUAUUAUCGAAAAUUUUCACAUUUUUUUUCUAGUAUGAAUACCAUAGUUGUUAGGUAAAAAAACUAUGGUAGGUUGUAACAUGCCUCCAUUCCAAGGAUUAAUAAUCAAAUGAGGUUGAUAAUGGGAAUGAUUCAUGUGUUAGUUGUUUAUGCUUUCAUUAUUUUCAUGUUUCAAUUAUUAUUGUUAGUCCAUUCUGCUAUUUUUGCUUUAUUAUAUGUUUCAUUUAUGAUGUUUGUCUCUUUAAUUUUUAGUAUUUUAUGUUAUUUGAGUAUUUUAAUUUUUUAAUAUAACAUAAUUAAGAUGUGAUAAUCAUAUAUUUAUUGGGUUUUUAAUCCAUCUAUUUUUUUAAUCACUUUGUUUUUUAAAUUUAUUUUAAGAUUAUUAAUUAAUUAUUUUCAAACUAUUAAUAAAUAAUUAAACAAAAAUAUUCUCAUUAUUUAAAAAACAAAAUAAUAAUAUUAAAAAUUUUAAUUAUUUUUUAUCUGAAAAUAAUAUUUAAAAGACAAGUAAAUUAUUUUAAAAAAUAUAUAAAAAAAAGAAUUUAAUAUUUUUUUUAAAUGAAAAAAUAAUAGGAGCAAAGAGAAGUUGUGUUCCCUAACCCCGACUUCUCUCUGCAAGCUAAAAAGGAGUGUUGUUUAGGAAACAAUUUUGAGGCAGGUGUAUUUUGGAAGAAAUGAGGAGAGAGCAAGUGUAGUGGAGUAAAAAAAUCCUGUAAGGUUUUGUUUGGUAGUAAAAAGAAAAAAAUAAUUGUGAUGAGAAAAAAUAAGUUAGAGGAUAAAUAUCUUCAACACUUAAACAAACAAAUAAAAAAGUUUUUCUAAGAAGUUCACUUAAAUCUAUUUUAACUAUUGAUAAAAAUUUAUACCUGUUGAUUUAAAAUAAAAUUAUAUUUAUUAAAUAUGAUAGGAGAAAAAAUAUUUUUUAUAUAUAGUAAAAUAUUUUCAUUUGCUGGACUUAAAUUUUCUUUAUCUCUCAUUUUACUAUUGUUGUUUGAGAUGAUCUCACUAAAUAUAUUUUACUUGACUAAUAAUAAAAAUUUUAUAUAGAUAAGAUUCAAAGGAUAAUCACUAACCAAGAAAUUUUAUGGAAGUAUUUAUCAAAUAAUUACAAUAGAUAUAUAACAUAAAAAAAGAGUUGAAUUGAAUAAUAAUUUUUCAUGUCAUCAUUUCAAAAGAAUUACUUUAAUCACUCUCUUUAUAUUAUUAUUAUUAUUAUUAUUAUUAUUAUUAUUAUAACAUCUUCACAAUAUUCUUUAUUUUAUUAGUAUCUAUUAUUUAUUUUAUUGAUUUUAUUUUAUAAAAAAUCACACACUUUUCUUUUUGCACACAUCUUUAACGUACAUAUAAGGAUAUUCAAAUCUUGACUUCAUUAAUAUUAUAUUUUUAGGGAUUAAUUAGCAUGUGUCUUUUCUUUAAUUCUUUCUCUUUUAAUUUGUUCAACAUUUUUUUUGUCUUAAUAAUUUUUUAAUCUCAUUUUUUUAUUUUCCUCGUAACAAAAUUUAUUCUAUAUGUAAGAAUUAAUAAAGAUUUAAAUCUUUUAUCACUUUAUUAAAAAACAUAAAUUACUAUCAAUUAUUUUAACUUUUUAUAAAAUCAUGAUUCAGUAUUAGAUCUUUAUACAAUAACAUAUCUCUAUGAUAACUUUCUUUAAUGAUCUGUGUUUGAUUAUAAAAAAUUAGGUUAAAAUAUAAACUAACACGAACUUAAGUAAAUAUUUGACUAUUUACUUUCACAUUGAAAAAUUGAUUUUAAAUUUUAACUUUAGAAAGAAAUUCUAAGUUGAGCAUCUUUACAUAACUUUUGGAUUUAACAAAAAAAUUCAUUUUCAAUUUUACUAUUAACUUAAUUUUUAAAUAAAAAUAUCCAAAACACAUGUACAAAUUGCUUCAAUACAUCUUGUCUCACAGCAUUAAAGCACAGGAACUUAAUUACGCGCACAGUACCCUUGCAGCCAUCCACACAUAUCACCAAGAAAAAAACACACACCACUGCUCCACACGAUUUGGAAAGCGAGAAAGCUGGCACUAACUUUAAUUAAAGCAUUUUAGAAAUAUAAUCCAUUUUUUUAAAUUAACCGUAGAAAUAUCGUCACUCUUUAAAUCUCUUGAGUCUUUAGUUUAGAGAAGCAAAAUUCAAAAUAGAAAUAUCAAGAAAGAAACAUGUGGGGAACAGGAAAGAGACUCCCAACAUGAUAAGUCACCCACCACCAUAAUAAUACAAAUAAAAAAGACCAUACUUUUGUCUUGCACAGCAGAACGAGUGAAGGUGAAGAGAGUUGAAUUAAGCCAAAUCUCAUCACAUCAGUUAACCUUACCAAGAACCAACCCAGUUCAUAGCAACCAAUUCCCUUGCCUUUGUCUUUCUACUCUGGUCAUCUNNNNNNNNNNNNNNNNNNNNNNNNNNNNNNNNNNNNNNNNNNNNNNNNNNNNNNNNNNNNNNNNNNNNNNNNNNNNNNNNNNNNNNNNNNNNNNNNNNNNNNNNNNNNNNNNNNNNNNNNNNNNNNNNNNNNNNNNNNNNNNNNNNNNNNNNNNNNNNNNNNNNNNNNNNNNNNNNNNNNNNNNNNNNNNNNNNNNNNNNNNNNNNNNNNNNNNNNNNNNNNNNNNNNNNNNNNNNNNNNNNNNNNNNNNNNNNNNNNNNNNNNNNNNNNNNNNNNNNNNNNNNNNNNNNNNNNNNNNNNNNNNNNNNNNNNNNNNNNNNNNNNNNNNNNNNNNNNNNNNNNNNNNNNNNNNNNNNNNNNNNNNNNNNNNNNNNNNNNNNNNNNNNNNNNNNNNNNNNNNNNNNNNNNNNNNNNNNNNNNNNNNNNNNNNNNNNNNNNNNNNNNNNNNNNNNNNNNNNNNNNNNNNNNNNNNNNNNNNNNNNNNNNNNNNNNNNNNNNNNNNNNNNNNNNNNNNNNNNNNNNNNNNNNNNNNNNNNNNNNNNNNNNNNNNNNNNNNNNNNNNNNNNNNNNNNNNNNNNNNNNNNNNNNNNNNNNNNNNNNNNNNNNNNNNNNNNNNNNNNNNNNNNNNNNNNNNNNNNNNNNNNNNNNNNNNNNNNNNNNNNNNNNNNNNNNNNNNNNNNNNNNNNNNNNNNNNNNNNNNNNNNNNNNNNNNNNNNNNNNNNNNNNNNNNAGCCUUGUAUAUUGAAUGAUCUGAAUCUACUUCAUCUUGAAUUGAUGGACAAGCUGAAAGAUAAAAAAUUCUUAAUUGUCUUGGAUGAUGUUUGGACAGAGAAUUAUGUUAACUGGAGACUUCUUAAGAAACCAUUUAACCGUGGGAUUAGGAGAAGUAAGAUUCUUCUAACAACCCGCAGUGAAAAAACAGCCUCUAUAGUCCAAACUGUUCACACCUAUCAUCUAAACCAAUUGUCGAAUGAAGAUUGUUGGUCAGUGUUUGCGAACCAUGCGUGUCUUUCCUCCGAAUCGAACGGGAACACAACACUAGAAAAAAUUGGAAAGGAGAUUGUUAAAAAGUGCAACGGACUGCCUUUAGCAGCACAGUCGCUUGGAGGCAUGUUGAGAAGAAAGCAUGACAUCGUGGAUUGGAAUAAUAUUCUCAAUAGUGACAUUUGGGAACUUUCUGAAAGUGAGUGUGAAGUUAUUCCAGCACUGAGACUUAGUUAUCAUUAUCUCCCUCCACAUUUAAAACGGUGCUUUGUUUAUUGUUCGUUGUAUCCACAAGAUUACGAAUUUGAAAAAAAUGAAUUAAUCUUGUUGUGGAUGGCCGAAGAUCUUUUGAAGAAAUCAAGCAAAGGUAGGACUUUAGAAGAGGUUGGUCAUGAGUAUUUUGAUGAUUUGGUUUCGAGAUCAUUUUUCCAACGUUCAAGUACAAGUAGUUGGCCUCAUCGCAAAUGUUUUGUGAUGCAUGACCUCAUGCAUGAUCUAGCCACAUCACUCGGUGGAGAUUUUUACUUUAGAUCAGAAGAACUUGGGAAAGAAACAAAGAUCAAGACCAAGACUCGUCAUUUGUCAUUUACGAAAUUCAAUUCUUCUGUCUUGGACAACUUUGAUGUUGUUGGUAGAGCAAAAUUUCUGAGAACUUUCUUGUCCAUCAUCAAUUAUAAAGCUGCUCCAUUACACAAUGAGGAGGCACAAUGUAUCAUAGUGUCGAAGCUUAUGUACUUGAGAGUUUUAUCAUUUUGUGACUUCCAAAGUUUGUAUUCUUUGCCUGAUUCAAUAGGUAAAUUGAUCCAUCUGCGCUAUUUAGAUCUUUCUCAUUCAAGUGUAGAAACACUGCCAAAGUCAUUGUGUAAUUUAUACAAUCUGCAAACUUUGAAGUUGUCUAAUUGCAGAAAACUGACUAAGUUGCCUAGUGACAUGUGCAAUCUUUUUAACUUGGGUCAUCUUGAGAUAUUUCAAACUCCCAUAAAAGAGAUGCCGAGAGGAAUGAGUAAAUUAAAUCAUUUACAACAUCUGGAUUUCUUUGUUGUGGGCAAGCAUGAAGAGAAUGGAAUCAAAGAAUUGGGAGGACUUUCAAAUCUUCGUGGUCAACUUGAAAUUAGGAACUUGGAGAAUGUUUCCCAAAGUGAUGAAGCGUUGGAGGCAAGGAUAAUUGAUAAAAAACACAUUAAUGAUUUAUGGUUGGAAUGGUCUGGAUGUAACAACAACAGUACCAACUUCCAACUUGAAAUAGAUGUGCUUUGCAAGUUACAGCCUCACUUUAACAUUGAAUCGUUGCAAAUAGAAGGCUAUAAAGGAACCAGAUUUCCAGAUUGGAUGGGAAAUUCUUCCUACUGCAAUAUGACACGUCUAACCUUAAGUGAUUGUGACAACUGUAGUAUGCUUCCUUCACUUGGGCAACUACCUUCUCUCAAGGUCCUUGAAAUUUCAGGAUUGAAUAGGCUGAAGACUAUUGAUGCAGGUUUUUACAAGAAUGAAGAUUGUCGUUCUGGGACGCCCUUUCCCUCCCUUGAAUCUCUGGUCAUUUUUGAAAUGCCUUGUUGGGAGGUGUGGAGUUCCUUCGAUUCAGAAGCUUUUCCUGUGCUUAAAAGACUUUACAUAAGUGGCUGCCCCAAACUAGAGGGAAGUUUGCCGAAUCACCUUCCUGCUCUGACAAAACUUGUGAUUAGAAAUUGCGAGCUGCUUGUCUCUUCUCUCCCAACGGGUCCCGCCAUUCGAAUUUUGGAGAUAAGUAAAAGCAAUAAAGUAGCACUGAAUGUGUUUCCUCUCUUGGUAGAGACUAUAGAAGUAGAAGGAAGCCCAAUGGUGGAGUCCAUGAUAGAGGCCAUCACUAACAUCCAACCAACAUGUCUCCGGUCUUUAACAUUAAGGGAUUGCUCGUCAGCCGUGUCAUUUUCGGGUGGUCGUUUACCUGAAUCACUGAAGAGUCUGAGUAUCAAGGAUCUUAAAAAACUGGAAUUCCCUACGCAACACAAACAUGAGUUACUGGAAACACUGUCAAUAGAAAGCAGUUGUGAUUCACUCACAUCUCUUCCAUUGGUUACCUUUCCAAAUCUCAG
rnacentral:lncRNA from 1 species